rnacentral:lncRNA from 1 species
AUUCUUCUUGCAUAGAGAAACCUGGAGGCAUCAGAGGUCGGGUGGUGCUCAGGUUACAGUACUUUGGCGCAGGUACGGGAGAGGUGGUCCCUCUUCUGUUUGGAAAUGUGAAGCGCGUGUGUGUGUGCACGUGAACGUGGUGGACAAAGGCUACUUCCUCAUACUAUACAUGAAAGGGCCAUAGGAAGAUAAUCAAAAAGGAAAAGAAAGGAAAGAGAUCUUCAUGUAAACAGAGUCCCUCUUAUUGGCUGAAGUGAAGAGUCAUUCUGAGGAGGAUCUGAAAAUGUAGAGGUGAGACGCUAAUGGCAGAGUGGCCUCAGCUUUCACCAGGUUUUGAAAACAUCUGUGAGGGAGGCACCAAAUUCACUGUCCUGCAGCUUUGACUUCCCAAUCCUCGUUGCCUCGUGCUGCCAGCCUGUAUGCUGGUAGAAGUGUGUUCCUGGGAACAUCCUGGCAUCUUGUGUUAGGACUACACUGGUGCAUGGGACAGAUCACGCUCAAGAAGGUCGAUGUAAUUUGAAAAACAGAUGGGCUCUGCUUUGUGAAAACUCCAAGCAUAUGAAGUCUAACUUGAAUAAAAGGCAUCUCAAGAUGAAGGUUUCCUAUUUGUGAUUAUGAAAAAAAUGUCAAGAACAAGUCCCUUGGUGUUCUUAGACCAAAGUCAGAACAACAGACCUAACUAACCAACAAGAACCACAAGGAUUAAUGAGGUUUCAAAGCAGUCCAGUGACUUGUGGGUAGCAGCAUCAGGAUUUGAACCCAGGUCCAUUUGGUUCCAAAGCCAGUGCUGCACUGACUGCCAAAGCAAGAAACAAAUUCAUGCUGUCUACAUGAUUAUCCAGAUUGAGAAAUAGUCUUUAUUAAAGAGUGUUUAAAAAUGGCUGUUAAUGGCCCCAGGGAUAGGCUUUCUUUCUCUUAGCCACAGCCUGUUGUCUUCACCCAAAGCAGACGGAAGGAUAAGGAUCAACAUUUCAUGGCAAAUAUGCUGAGAGUCUGGAACUGAAAUGAAGGUUGCCUGGGGCCUCUGUGAGAGAAGGCGUCUGGAACUGUUCGGUGUGCUUCUGCUACACUGGCCUGCGGCCUAUGCCCAGCUCUGCCUUUUUCUAGCUGUGUGACUUUGAGCACAUUGGUCAACCUCUCUGAACCUGUAGAUGAAGGUGAAUAACAGUUGCACAUCUUGGGUGGUGGUGAGGAUUUGAAGUACUUGAAAUCAUUAACGGGGAAGUUUCACCACUGUGCAGUACCAAGUGCUGACAAUAGGACCCUUCCUUCCUGUCUUAGUCCACUGGGGCUGCUCUACCCAUAAUGCUAUAGAUUGGAUGGCUUAUCAACAACAGAAAUUUAUGUGUCAGUUCUUGAGACUGGGAAGUCCAUGAUCAAGGCUGCAGCAUAUUCGGUGUCUGAUGAGGACCCACUUUUUGGCUCAUAGACAGCCAUCUUGCUGUGUGUCCUCACAUGGUGAAAUGAGCUCUCUGGGGUCUCUUUGACAAGGGCAUUAAUCCCGUUCAUGAGGGCUCCAUCUUCAUGGCCUAAUACCUUCCAAAGGCCCCACAUCCUAGUAUCAUCACCUUGGGGAUUAAGAUUUCAACGUAGGCAUUUUGUGGAAUCACAACCACUAUGGGACUAUAGGACUAUAAGACUUCCACACUGUCACCUUUUCUCUUUUGAGAGGCUUAUGAGUGUCCUGAGCUGUCAAAAAAGAGGACUAGCCAUUUAGGAGCAGUCCUGAUGGGGAUCAGAAAAUUCUUUGGACAUGUGUGGGAGACUCUUCUGCAGGACAGUACAAGGGUGAGGUGGCUGGCAAGGGACAGCCCCUACCUGCCUGAGAAGCGAAUAGCCAGGGAAAGGAGACAAGGGCUCACCUGGCACAAGGCUUCCUGCUGUGAGCAAGGGAUGGUGCUUUGAACUCUCUCAGGGCUAACUGCCUCUUCCAGGUGGCCCUGCCUACAACUGAGUUCCAGAUACUGUUCCAACCUCCUCUGAGCUCCAUUGAGUCACUGGGCACUCCCAGCCCAGGUGACUUUCAUCUCAUCUCUCCAGGAGCAGGCUAGUCAUCCUCUCCCUCUAUCCCAGUGGUUCUCAACCUUGGCUGCAUAUUGGAAUCAUUUGGCAGAACAUAAAAAGAUAAUGAUGCCCAAACCCUACUCCCGGAGAUCCUGAUUUAAUUGGCCUGGGGUGUGUCCUAGGCGUUGGAAUUUUUUCCAGGUGAUUCUAACAUGCAGCUAGGCAUGAGAGUCAUUGCUUGUUCUCACUGCAAAUCAGUAUCAUGUCAUUUUCUAUCUCCAGAAUGAGGUGGAGCUAGCUGGCCUAUACUGGUUUGUGAGAGCCCAUUAUUGAAAUCUCAGGAACUUUACAAACCAGUUAUUAAGAAUGGUCAUUAUUAAAAAAAAAUUAUAUGAACUUUCAAUUAAAUAAAUUUGAUUAGCAGCAAAGAUAAUAAAGUCUCAAAACUAAGUAAUUCCUAAUUAUUUUGCAUUUUACUGUUACCUACACUUUACGUUAUUUGCAUCUAUUGCAUCUCUGUUACAUAGUAUGACAAUACUAUAUAAUCAUGUACUAUGGUGAAUCAUUUCCCACUUCCACGUUCAGUGACAUCAUGUUAGUAGCUUGAAAUAGUUCAUGGUGGGAAUAUUUACACCACAGACAUUGGCAAACGAUACAAGUCAAGGCUUUAUUUAUUGUUUUGCUGAUUGUCUAGGCUUGAGAAAAUGACAGAAGUCCUGUUAAUAAUGCAGAUUAAACUUGAAUACGUUUCAUGUCUAUAGCUGUUGUGAAGAGCAAAAGAACUGAGGUCAUAUUCUUUGAGUAUUUGAAAGCUAUGACAUGAUUCAGCAAUAAAGCAGCUCAUAUCAUCAGUGAGUAAGUAUAAUUUCCAUAUUUUUGUAUUUUCACUUUAAUUUUACUCUUUACUGUAGACAAAAAUGUUAGCCAAUAAUCAUGUCUCCGCUAUACUCAUUUAUCAAUUGUAACCAUAGGUUGACUGUGGGGACAAGGGCUGAGAAGGAAAUCAAUGAAAGUAUUAUGUGAGAAUCAAUUAACUCUAUGGAAUUUAUAAUAAAUACUGAAUAUCUUAUUAUUAUUUGCAAAUUGUGUGCAACAUAUCCUUUAUAUCAGUAAAAUUUGUAGCAAACAUCUAUGUGUAUAUAUACAUCCUUUUUUUUUUCCUCGAGAACCAGUUGUUAAACUUACACUAGCAUGCUACCACCUACCUCCACACCUUUCUUCAAAAGAUCUUUAUCCCCUGACUCACUCUCUUUUCUCCAUAUUCCUGAUAAGGCUGUUCUUCCAGAAGCCAGAGGAAAGCCCUUUGUUAUAGUCUUUACAGGUUAGCCUUCCACACCUCUUGGAGAAGAAUGGGAGGGAUCUGGAGGGGCAAACAGAAGAUAUACGACAUAAUUAGCUGUUUUUUAAAAAUUAUUAAUAGAUUUCAGCUGUGCCUGGAAGCACUCAAUCCUCCAGUCACUCUGUGGCUAGAUAUUAUUUCUAAACACAUAUGAAACCUGCUGCAACAACAAAAUCUAUAAAAUACAUGUCUGCUUUUCUUUCUACUGAUGGUCCACAUGGAUAGUAAGAAAUGCAUCCACAGAGGCACUGCCCACGUCUUAAAACAUGAGAGAAAAGGAUAACAGCUAUGAACAGCAUGUUAAGGCUUAGGUUUCUUGGCAUGUCCUGUGAUAGUGUCCUUGUCAUCUAUUUCUGCAUAACAAACCACUUAAAGACUUAAUGACUCAAAACAGUGACAAACAUUUAUCCUGUGCACAAGUCUGUAAUUUGAAUAGGGCUCCGUGGAGAAGACUUGAAUCCACUCCACAUAGCAUUGGUUGUGGGGAUUGACUUAGGGCUGGAGGAUCUAAAUCCUCUAUGCUCACUCCCAUGGCUGGUGAAUUGAUGUUGGCAAUCAGCUAGGAGUCCAGGGGGCUUUGGCUCCUCUUUACGUGGCCUGGGCUUCCUUACAACAUGAUGGUUGGAUUCCAGGGGCAAAUGUUCUAAACUAGCUGAAAGCCAUGUUGCCGUGUAUGACUUAGCUUUAGAAGGCACAUAGCAUUACUUAUGCUGUAUUCUAUUAUUUGAUGCAGACAAAAAGCCCCAUCCAGGUUCAAGCGACUCCACAUCUUAACGGGGGAGUGAGAAGUUCUGGAAGAGCAUGUAGGACAGGAAAUACUAUUGUGACCCUUUUUAGAAAUUAUAAUCUGUCACAGCUAGAAAGGAAGAGAACGCCUCCCAAAACACUGCAUGUCCCUGGUGUCUUGUGUUUUGUGCAAGAAAUCAGCAGGACAUAUUCCACGACUAGUCCAGAAUGACAAGUGGUAAGAAUUGAGAAAUGGGGGUCAACUGAGGUGAAGGGGAAAUAUGUUGUUUUUACUAACAGAAAUGUCUAAAGAGUUAAUGAUACUUCAGGUCAUUUUUCAAUAGACUGUAGGUAUGUGAAACAGUGGAAGUGUUCCAUUAUGAAAAGCUUAAUCGAGAUAGCCAAUGGAAGUAUUGAAAGGUCAUUACCAUAAUACAUUUGCAGAAGAAGCGCUCCAAAUCAUUGUGAAACUCCAUGGCCGCAUACUCCACAAUUACCUGGAGUAGAGAGACAGUCAGGGUGCCCCAUGCCAUCUCCCCCAGAAUGGAAAAAGACAAGUUGCUCACAUGAGAAUCCAAAUGAAGUGUGUCAGAAACAAACAGUACUCACAUUAGGCAGGGAUAAAGUUCUAGCUGCAGAAUGAUUAAAUACUUUUUUUUUUUAAUGGGAAGAGACCUUUUUAAACCUUUUUAAAGGUUGCGUAGAUGCAGAGACUCUGAGAUAAAGGGAUUCUUUUCCAACCAAAGUAUAGGUAGUUUUCUUUGGUUAGUUAAAGAAGCUUAAAUGGACAUGACCCCUAGAAGGGAUCGUUUAUUUUAUGAAAAGCAUCCAGAAUAUACAAUCAGUUAUGUGUGGUUCACACAGUUCUGUUAGCUAAAAAGGGACCAAGGUAAGAUUGUGUGUCUUUUUACAGAUACUAUUUUGACAUAAUUUCUGACUUAGAGAAAAGUUGCAAAAAUGCAGAAAUAAUAUUUACCCAGAUUGCUCAGAUGUUAAAUGUUUAGAAUAUUUGCUUUUUUCCCCUUCCUCCCUCCCUCCCUCCUUCCUUCCUUCCUUCCUUCCUUCCUUCCUUCCUUCCUUCCUUCCUUUUCUUUUGUCUUUUUUUUUUUCUUUUUUUUUGAGACGGAGUCUCACUCUGUUGCCCAGGCUGGAGUGCAGUGACAAGAUCUCAGCUUACUGCAACCUCCAUCUCCCAGGUUCAAGCAAUUCUCUUGCCUCAGCCUACCAAGUAGCUAGGAUUACAGGCACAUGCCACCACAGUUGGCUAAUUUUUGUAUUUUUAGUAGAGACAGGAUUUCACCAUAUUGGCCAGGCUGGUCUCAAACUCCUGACCUCAAGUGAUCUGCCUGCCUCAGACUCCCACUUUAUCUCUUUCUUUCCUUUCUUCUUUCCUUUCUCCUUUCCUUCCCCUUCCCCUUCCAUUUCCCCUUCCCUUCCCUCCUUUCCUUUUUCCUUUCAAGACAGGCUCUUGCUCUGUUUCCCAGGCUGGAGUGCAGUGACAUGAUGAUGACUCACUGCAACCUGGACCUCCUGGGCUCAAGCAGUCCUCCCCACUCAGUCCUAGUAGCUGAGACCAUGGGCGCACACCAUCACACAGGGCUAAUUUUUAAAUUUUUUGUAGACAAGGUAUCACUGUGUUGCCCAGGCUGGUCUCAAACUCCUGGUCUCAAGUGAUCUUCCCGCCUCGACUUCCCAAAGUGCUGAGAUUACAGGCAUGAGCCACCAGGCCUGGCCUCUUUCUCUUUAAUCUAUCUCUAUCUGUAUCUCUGUCUCUGUCUCUACCUCUAUCUCUCUCUCUACCUCUGGCUCUUUCUCUAUAUCAUAAACAUAUAGUCUGCAUCUAUGUCUAUAUGUCUAGGAAGAGAAAUAUACAUACAGAUAGAUAUGUGUUUGCAUCAGAUAUAAGUGAUGAUUUUUCAGAACCAUUUAAGAGUAAGUUGCAGACAGGAUGUCCCUUUAUCCCUAAAUACAAUGUUUAUUUACUAAAAACAAAUUCUCAAAUUUUCUUACAUAAUGAAAACACAAGUAUCAUAACUAGAAAAUUAAAAUUAAUAUAAUGUUACUAUCUAAUAUAAAGACUUCAUUCAAAUUUUUCUAUUUUUCCCAAUAAUGUUCUUUAUAGUAAAAUAAAAUUUAAGACCAUGUGUUUUUUAUAGUAAAAUGAAAUCUAAGAUCAAACAUAAAACUGAUGUCUUGAUAAACUCAGUUCUGUUACUGUACCUGAAAAAUGGGUCGAUAGACAUAUAAACUCUUAGUUAUAUUUGCAAAGUCACAGAGAACCCAUUUUAAAAUGGCCUUCCCUGGGCAUGUUAGGCUGAAACCUACAACUCUUUUUGUUGGGCCAGGCAGAGAAGAAUUUCUUGUUGGGAUUCCUAGAAGACUGGCACUACACUUAGUGUACAGGCAAUACUUGUUAAAUGUUUAUUUAACACUGAAUAAGUAUUAACAUUGUAACAUUAAGCAUUAUAUGUUUAAUGUAAUUAAUAUAAUGUAAUUAGUUAUGUAAUAUAAUUAAUGUAACCUAAUGUAAUAUAAUUAUAUGUAAAUAGUAUAACAUUAAACAACCAAACCUAGAAAAAAACUCAGAUUUAAAAGUAGUUUCUGUAUCACCUAAGAAUAAAAAUAUUUUAAACCUAAGUCAUCCGGGGCUUGAAUUUUCUAAUUGAAAAUUAGAGGCUUAGGAGGAUGUUAAAAAAAUCUUUAUAUUACUUGGGUAUCAUUGGGUGAACUGUGAUGUUAUUUAUAAUAGUUGUCACAAUCACCUUUGAAAUUCUAGCAACUCUGACACAUUGAGGAGAAUAAACAGAUUUUUCUCCUUAUCAAAACUAGUCCUUUUACUAGAAUCUAAAGCUGUCCUUCGGAUUCAGACUGAGGACACUGUGACUACUGAGGCAAGGAUGUGAAUGCCAGGGGUGUGUGUAGAAGGUGAGCCCAGGAAGCACUGGUAGGAGAGUCAAGAUGUGAGACAGGAAAAGGUAGAAACAAAUAAAGAGUGAAUUAUCUAGUAAGUCAUGACUGUGGAAAACUGGGGCUCACCCCCACUGGGCGACUCAUGGAAAGAGUGAAGAACAGAGUUCUAUGGAGUUAUUCCAACAGAGAGUCCAGGAAGCUAGUGUAUUUAUGUACCCAAUCCCACCGGUUGCUGGUGAAAGCCUGCUGCCAACAAUACUAAGGCCCCAGCAUAUCCAGUCUGCCUCAUGUGAGGGGCUAAUGGUCUCUGGCAGCCUGCAAAAUCCCUCUUGCAAGGGCUCCCAGAGGCUUAUAGCUGGAACCUGCCAUGUCAGGCUGCACGGGCAUGAUGCUUGCCUAGGGAUAGAGAUGGAGCACCUUCAGCUUCUACGUUUUCCAUUCCUGCCAUUUGGAACCAGGUUUAAUGGAAUUAGAGAAGCAUUUGAAAAAUUAGAUAUUUGUUGUUUAAGAAAAUAUGAUCAAUGAAGAGUCAAACUACUUCUUCUUCUUCUUCUUUUUUAAUGAAAUGAACAGGUAAAAGUCCUUCUAUGGCUUAGCCAUCCCAGACUCCAGUAGAAAUGGGUAUGAAGAUAAUUGCAUUAUAGCUAACGAGUAGUGGAAAGAGUGAAGCUAACACCAAUCGCUUGAGGGAACAAGUAAAUUAAAUGCUGAUGACCUUGACCAGGCAGCAAACUACAUUCAUUGAUUAUUUUAAUUUUCUCUCUUCUACACUCAGUUAAACAUCCAUAGCAGUGGAUUUCAAGGUAACUAAAAGGUUGUUUAGCAUACUUUUAAAAGAGUCAGGAAUAGCAGAACAAAAAGGCCCCUAUCAAACAAACAAAAAAAUACCUCAUCUGAUGUGUGUCCUCUAUAUGUGGGUGUACAUGAGUGAUUAUUUGCCUCUAUGUAUCUGCUCCUCAGAAGGGAUGCAUAUGUGUUUCAACAGAAAGGAAGAAAAAGAGAAAAUUGACAGGUAGAACAUUUGAAUAAAAAAGGGAGGAAUGUCCUAUCCUGGGUAAUUCUGUUAUGUGCAGCAUUUUAAAACUGUGAUAUUAUGUGGUAGAAGGAAAUAAAAACUUGAGGGGAGGAUAAUAAAAUGAAAGUGAGAAGGUGAAUUUUUGUAGUUCUGGCUUCUUAGAUGUCCACUGCAUUUAUCUGAAAAAGGAACUCAACCUGCUUGAAAAUUUAGGCUUUACAAACAAAGUAAAACAAAAACAGUUUAAAGAUAUUUCUACUUUUAAAAAAUUUUUAUUUAUUUAUGUAUUUAUUUGUUUGUUUGUUUAUUUUUGAGACAGAGUCUCACUCUGUUGCCCAGGCUGGAGUGCAGUGGCAUGAUCUUGCUCACUGCAACCUCUGCCUCCUGGGUUCAAGUGAUUCUCCUGCCUCAGCCUCCCUAGUAGCUGGGAUUACAGGCACGCCACCACCACGCCCGGCUAACUUUUGUAUUUAUAGUAGAGACAGGGUUUCACCAUGUUGGCCAAGCUGGUCUCGAACUCCUGACAGGUGAUCCUCCCGCCUGGGCCUCCAAAAGUGCUGGGAUUUACACGUGUGAGCCACCGUGCCAGGCCAAAAGAUAUUUCUAAAAUGACUAACUAGUUGUUGAGUUUUGAUGGGGAUUAUACUAAAUCAGAAAUAGUAAUCAAAAUUAAAGAAUUAAUAAGGAAAUAAUUUGAGUUAUAGUGAAGGGUCUUUUUAAGAGAAUAUAAAUCCAACCAGAUGAUAUUUAAAUAUGCCUUUCUGUUUUCACCAUUUAAUGGCUUGUCUGGAUUAAGUUGUUGAAGGACUAGGGCUGUGUUAGGAUUUGAAUGUGUCCUCACGAAAGCAUGUGUUAGAAACUUAAUCUCCAGGGCAAUAGGGUUGGGAGGUGGGGCCUAUUAGGAGGUGAUUAGGACAGGAGGGUUCUGCCCUCAUGAAUGGAUUAAUGUCAUUGUCAUGGGAAUAGGUUAUUUAUCUUCAAAGUUGGUUCAUUAUAAAAAAGCGAAUUCAGUGCUCCCCUACUCCCUGCCAUCCCCCUCUCACCCUCUUGCCUUCUGCCAAGGGAUGACUCAGCAAGCAGGCCCUUGCCAGAGGCUGUUGCCUCAGUAUUGGACUUUCCAGCCUUAAGAGCUGUGAGAAAUAAAAAAAUAAGUUUAUUUUCUUAUAAGUAACCCAGUCUCUGUUAUUCUGUUAAAGUAGUGUGAAACAGAUGAAGACAGGCUGCUUUGUGAAAAGUGGUUAUAUGAACACAAAAGUUUAUUCUUCCAGGAGCACUGUUAAGAAGAGUUAGUUGGGCCAUCAUUCUGGUUCUUGAACUUUAAAAAGCAGGGGAAAUGUCCAAAUGAAACUCUGACACUAAAGGAUUCAUGUUAGAAAAACGUUAAUGCCAAGAGUUGUGCUAAAAAAAAAUGAUAAUGCAGUUGUACUGGUAUUAAGCACUUUCAAUCCUCUAUAAAAAGUGCAAACAGGCCAGGCACAGUGGCUUAUGUCUGUAAUCCCAGCACUUUGGGAGGCUGAGGUGGGCAGAUCGUGAGGUCAGGAGUUUGAGAGCAGCCUGACCAACAUAGUGAAACCCUGUCUCUACUAAAAAUAAAAAAAUGAUCUGGGCAUGGUGGCACACACCUGUAAUCCCAGCUACUCAGGAGGCUGAGGCAGGCGAAUUGCUUGAACCCAGGAGGCAGAGGUUGCAGUGAGCCGAGAUCAUGCCACUGCACUCCAGACUGGGUGACAGAGGGAGACUCCAUCUCAAAAAAAAAAACAAAAAAAAAACAAAAAAAACUGGGAGCAGAUUCUAAGAGGUCAUCCCGCUUCUCUUUUUUCAUUUCUUAAGUCCUCUGAACACAUCAGUGAGGUGGAGGCAGCACAUUUUAAAAUAUGGGGCUUUCUCUAUUCCCCAUGAGAAAGAUAAGCCUUGAUUGACUUUCCCUUACUUUUAUCAAACUUAAGCCAGAUACAUCUCAAAGUUCCAUUUUGUCUUCUACUUCAGCACAUGUCCUGUGCAGGAAAAGUCACUGGAAUUGAGGAAUUCUGGAGAUACGUCAUUAGUGCUAGCACAUGCUGAUAACUUCUAGCUGGAACAGGGAAGAGGCUGGAAGGCAUGUGUCUCCAGUGCAUCCCAAAGUCCAGGGAACCUUAGUAGAUAAAGAUGCUGACUUCUCUUUUCUAACCAUGCCUGGUCCCACAGAACCCAGCAUCAGCACUUACGGGUACUGUAUAUAAGGCUUCAAGUCUAGAUGUUUUAUCUCUGUCCUUGAUUCCCUGAUUUUUAUUCAUGUAUUUUUUUCAGUUUUAUUGAGGUAUAAUUGGUUUAUUAGUCUGCUUUCACACUGCUAUAAAGAAAUACCCGAAACUGGGUAACUUAUAAGAAAAGACGUUGAAUUGAUUCACAGUUCCACACAGCUGGGGAGGCCUCAGGAAACAUGGCAGACAGUGAAGGGGAAGCAAGGACCUUCUUCACAUGGCAGCAGGAGAGAGAGAAUGAGUGAAGGAGGAACUUGCCAAACACGUAUAAAACCAUCAGAUCUUGUGAGAACUCACUCACUAUCAUGAGAACAGCACGGAGGGGAAACCGCCUCCAUGAUCCCGUCACCUCCCACCAGGUUUUUCCCUCAACACCUGGAGAUUAUGGGGAUUACAAUUCAACAUGAGAUUUGAGUGGGGACACAAAGCCUAACCAUAUUAAUUGAUGAAUACAAAUUGUAUAAAUCAAGGUGUUCAACAUGUUUUUAUAUACAUAUAUAUUGUGAGACACUGGCUACAAUCAAGCUAGUUAACACAUCUAUCACCUCACAUAGUUACCCUUGAUUUUUAAUUUUUUAUUAUUUCAUACACUAUUAGAACAAAAACAAGGUAUUGACUUGGGUUGCCAUGUAAGUUCCUUAGACACACAUAUAUGUGCACACAGACACACACACACACAGUCACACACUCCCAUCAUCCAAUAUCACUGCUAUUCCAUUCUCACUUAAAAGGGCAUGCAGCUUAUUUAUUUAUUUAUUUAUUUUUGAGAUGGAGUCUCACUCUGUUGCCCAGGCUGGAGUGCAGUGGCGUGAUUUUGGCUCACUGCAACCUCCGCCUCCUGGGCUCAAGCGAUUCUUGUGCCUCAGCCUCCUGAGUAGCUGGGACUAUAGGCAUGUUCCCCCAUGUCUGGCUAAUUUUUUGUACUUUAGUAAAGACGGGGUUUCACCAUGUUGCCCGGCUUGUCUUGAACUCCUGAGCUCAGGCGAUCUGCCCGCCUAGGCCUCCCAAAGCACUGGGAUUACAGGUGUGAGCCACCACACCCAGCCCAUUUAAAAGUUUUUUACCAUCAAAAAUAGUGAGGAAAAUAUCCCACUUAAAAGGGCAUGUAGCAAAAGUAUCACUCUACUGCAAUAGAAAUAACUAAUAGGGGAAACUGAGCAUCUGGUGGGAGGAAGGUGGGACUUCCCUGUGCUUUUGGAUCAAUUUUUCUGUAAACCUAAAACUGUCCUGAAAAAAAUAAAGUCUACUAAUUUAAAAAAAGUAUGUCAAAUGGCACAGUCACUAUAUGAAACAGUUUUGCAGCUCCCCAAAACCUUGAACAUAGAAUUACCACAAGACUCAGCAAUUCGACUCCUUGGUGUAUACCACAAAACUGAAAACAGACACUCAAACAAAUACUUGUACACAAAUAUUCAUAGCAGCAUUAUCCACAAUUGCCAAAUGGUGUAAACAACCCAGAUGUCCAUCGACAUAUAAAUGGAUAAACAAAAUAUGCGAUAUGUGAAUAUGUUGAAUGCCCCUAAAUUAUACACUUUAAAAUGGUAAUUUUCUAUUACAUACAUUUUAUCUCAAAAAAGAACCAAUAGAGGAGCAUCCUACAAAAUAGCUGACCAGUCCUCAAAAUGAACAAGAUUUUCCAAAAUAAGGAAAGACUGAGAAACUGUCACAGUCAAGAAGAUCCUAAGGAGACGUGACUCCUAGAUUUAAUGUGGUCUCAUCAAUGGAACCCUAGAACACAAAAAGGACAUUAGGUAAAAAAAUAAGGAAGUCUAAGUAAAUUAUAGAUUUUAGUUUGUAACAAUGUAUUAAUAUUAUUUCAUUAAAUGUAACGUGGCACACUAAGAUGUUAGUAAGAGGAAAUACUGGAUGGAGGGUACAUGGGAAUUUUCUAAGAUAUCUUACAAUUUUUCUGUAAAUCUAAACUACUCUAUAAUUAAUAAAGUUGAUUUAAAGAAAGGAGCAGCUACAUGUGCCUUUUGUGCUCUGUCUUUCCCCACUCUUUCCUCCAUGUAUGUAACUCGGAGCUUACAGGAGGAGCCUUGAGGACAAGGAUGUACACCAAGGAUAGUGAGUGGGAGGCAGAGGUAGCCACCUGCUUCCUGCCCUGUCCCGCUGUCUUCACACUUCUUGUUACAUGAGAAUAAGAACAUAAAAGAAAAAUUUAAAAAGGACCAUUCUUUUAAAUCAAAUACAUUUUGUUUAAUUAAAAAUUCACUGUUACCAUAUGUAUUAGUUUCUUAGGUUUUUCAUCAUAAAGGACCACAAAUGGGUUGACUUAAAGCAAUAGCAUUUUAUUGUCUCACAGUUCUGGAGGUCAGAAGUCCAAAAUCAAGGUGUAGAGCCACGUGCCCACUGAAAUUCUGGAUGGAAUCUUUUCUUGCCUCUUCCCAGCUCCUGGUGGUGAUGCUUUACCUCUGGCAUUCCUUGGCUUGCAGCCACAUCACUCCAAUUUGCCUCCGUCUUCACACACUGUUCUCCCUGUGUGUCUUGGUUUUCAGGUAGCAUUUCCCUCCUCUUACAAGGACACCAUCAUGUUAGAUUAGAUCUUCCCCCAUCUCCCCAACCUGCCCAUGACAUCAUCUUGACUACAUCUGCAAAGGCCUUAUUUUCAAAUAAGACCACAUUCAUCAAUAUCAGUGGCUAGAACUUCAACAUAUCUUUUGGGAAACAUAAUUCAACCUGUAACACUGCAUUUUUCUCAUUCUAUAAUGGACAUAUGAAAACAUUUUUAGAGACUAGCAUGGGCCUAUGGACAGGCAUUUGGGAUGAAUGACAUGUGUGAUUUAAAAAAUCUUCACAACUUUAUGAAGUUCAUGACCAAGACUUACUAUCCCAUUUUGCAGGUGAUGAAAUUGAGACAUAGGAAAUGUAAGUCAGUUUUUCCUGGGUUGCACAGUUAGGAAAUGAUGGAUUCAGAAUUUAAACCUAGACUGUCCUCAGAGUUCUUGCUCUUUCUAUCAAAUUGUUCUCAGGCUGAAUGAGCUUUUAGUGAAUCAGAUCAGGAAAUACAGAAUGAGAUUCUGAUUGGAGGCUUAUCCUGAAACAUUCUUAGCCUCCUUUAUAUUCAUUUAGGCUUUUCCUUCCUCGCUUUUCCUGCCACCGUCCUCAUUGAACUGAAGGCUCGCCUCAUAACCACGCUUGCAAGCCUCUCGCUCCUUCUACCAUUGUGGCUUUCAAAUUUGAUUUACUGAAAUCUACUUGUCUAAAUGAUAGAAUCGAGAAAGCUUUUACCAAGUAAGUUUAUCACAGAAAUGUAACUAUUAUGUGUAUUGUGCAAAAUGGUUCUUUUUUUUAAAUCCAGGCAAAUACAUUGGAGUCAUUAAUUUGAAUACUAAGUACAAGGUUCUGUUUAAAAAUCCACAAGAUGAAUAACAAAUCAUAAUUCUGGCAAGGCAAAGACAUUCUUCAAAGCCAUCGUUUGUAUAAUCCAUUGAAGAUACUAUGAUAGUAGCUCGUUGAUGGCUGAUUUAGAGUCUAGCACACGUGCCAUUACCUUUCUUUUGAGAUAUAUUUCAUGCGUCCUCACAUUACAAGCAGUUGCUGACUUCAAAAUGGAUUGGGUUACAAAAGUUCAUCUGAACUAUAUUCUUUGAUAUUCAGAAUGUUUCGCACAUCCUUAUAAAGCACCUGUUAUGUGACUAUCUUGCGCUUGGCUGUGUAGAUAAAACAAUUAAAAAAAAAACAAAUAGGGUCCUUGUUUUUUGAGAGUUUAAAUGGGAUGAAGGUGGUGCAUUGAAUUACAGGUCUCAGCUCUUCACUCCUCUUUGGACAUCCCUGCCCUGAGCCCCCUGACUUUCAUUUUCUUGUAUAUAGACCGUACUUCCCCUUUCCUUGGCUGUGGGGUUGACUGUGUGACUUGCUUUUGGCCAAUGAGGUGUUAGCAGAUGCUGCAAGCUAGAUUUUGCCAAGUGCCUGAGCAGUUGAGCUUGCCCUGUGCCAUGGCAGUGAGGAGUGCUUCCUCCGGGUGUUUAUGCCCUUUACCCUGAGCCUGGAAUUCACAUAUGUGCUGCCCACACCCCAGCUGCUCCAAGGACCUGCAGCAUUAUAGCUGCCCCAGCCAACCCACAGAACCCUAAGAGAGAAUAUAUAUCCUUGUCAUUCUAAGUCGCUGAGUUUUGCCAUUGCAUAGCAUGUUUAUGGCAAUAGUUAAAUGAUAGAGGUGGGGAGAACGCCCGCACUACACAAAGAGUUCCAAAAAAUAAACCUGUAAUCACUGGGGCAUGGUGCAGACAUAGAGUGUGUUGAGACACAGAGCAGUAUAUGCAAUGGGGCUUCUGAGACAUCAAGAAGGUCUCCCCAAGCAAGUGGCUUUCAAGCUAAGACCCAAAGGGUGAGCAGGAAUUGGUUGGGUGAAGAGAGAGGGGAAAGGAAUCCCAAGUAGAGGGAUUGGCACCUGCAAAGGCCCUGACUGAGGUUGGAAUAAAUUUGGUGUUGAGAUGAAGCAGCAGCUGGUGAGGGGACCAGAUAAUACAGGGCUUUGUAGAAGGAGGAUUUUGAAAUUUAUUCUAAGAGCAUUUUAUUGUAGAAUCCUAGUACAGUCAACCCUCUGUAUACACGGGGUUCCCAGACAUACUCAAAUCCUGCUGUCCACUGUGUGGAACCUGUUUAUAGGAAAAGUUGACCCUCCGUAGAAGCAGGUUUUGCUUGUUUGGUUGAAAAAAAUCUGUAUGUAGUGGACCUACACAGUUUAAAUCAAUGUUGUUCAAAGGUCAACUGUACAUGAGACUCCUGUGGCUGGCUUAGCAAACCAAAUUUCCCCUUAGGGGUGUUCAUCCAUGAGGUUAUUCCGUUUUUCUUUGAUUACUGCUCCUGCGUAUGUUCAGGUGAAUCUUCUCUCCCCUUUGGGUAGCACAUCCCUUCAUGAUGUCUUGGACAGAUUGCAUAACUUUUCGUUCCCUUUUAGCUGCUAAAAUCCUAUCUGGUUUAAAAUUUUAAUCAUUUGUUCACGGUGAACAUUCCCUUCAGUUAUGGACAGGCAGGCUUGUGGCUACAGAAAUGUUAAGCUGGGGACCAAGUUAUGAUCUAUGUACUUACUUCUCUCACUCUCUUAAACCCUUGGAGUGGAGUGGGCCACAGGUUGUGUGGCGGAUGCUAUAGGGCACCUCCCAGAUCCCCUUCUGGACAAAGGACUUGCUGAGAGUGAUGCAGGCAGAUGUUCCUCCGUGGUCAUCCCACUUUCAGGGGUCCUGCAGCUGAAGAGAGACACUCCACCUAUUUCCUGGGACGGUCUGCAUCCAUUGACCAAUUGAUCCUCUAACCCCAAUUCCGGAUAGCUCUGAAGGUCACCCCAGCUUCAGAACUCCCUGCAGAGUUGGCUGAGGCUUGCACUGUCACGGCAUCAUAGCUCAGCUUCUCCCUCUGCUCAUUCUCACUCCCUCACUUCCCUUCCACUGGCGUGGUUCCUCUCUUAGUCUUCUUGAGCUGCUAUAAUAAAAUGCCACAGGCUGGGUGGCUUAAAAAACAGAAAUUUAUUUUCUGAUAAUGCUGGAGGCUAGAAGUCCAAGAUCAAGGUGCCAGUAAGCAUGGUUUUUGGUGGGGACUCCCUUCCUGGUUUGCAGAUGGCUGCCUUCCAGCUGUGUCCUUACAUGGUGUAGUAGUCAAGGUUCUCUAGAGGGACAAGACUAAUAGGAUAGACAUGUAUAUGAAAGUGAAUUUAUUAUGGACUAUUAACUCACACGAUCACAAGGUGAAGUCCCAUAAUAGACCAUCUGCAAGAUGAGGAGCAACGAAGCCAGUCCAAGUCUCAAAGCCUCAAAAGUAGGGAGGCUGACAGUGCAGCCUUCAUUCUGUGGCCUACACCACUGGUGUAACAUCCAAGAGUCCCACAGCUGAAGAACUUUAAGUACGAUGUUCGAGGGCAGGAAGCAUCCAGCAUGGGAGAAAGACAGUGGCCAGAAGACUUGGCCAGUCUUGUCCUUCCGCUUUCCUCUGCCUGCUUUUUCCCAGCUGUGCUGGCAGCUGAUUAGAUGGUGCCCACCCAGAUUGAGGAUGGAUCUGCCUCUCCCAGUCCACUGACUCAAAUGUUAAUCUCCUUUGGCAAGACUCUCACAGACACACCCAGGAACAAUACUUUGCAUCCUUCGAUCCAAUCGAGUUGACACUCAACAUUAACCGUCACACAUGGGUUUCCUAUAUGCAGGGGAGAAGAGAGAGGGAGCUCUGUGUUUCUUCCUUUUCUUACAAGGACACCAGUGUUAUUGGCUCAGGGCCUCAGCCUCAUAGUUAAGGUCAUUUAACCUUAACUGCCUUCUUAAAGGCUCUGUCUCCAAAUACUGCCAUAUUGGUGAUUAGGGUUUAAACACGGAAGUUUUGGUGGGGACACUAGUCAGUCCAUAGCUGUUUCCCAAGAUACUCAUCUCUGUCUCAGUCUGUUUCUCAGGAACCCAACCUACCAUGAGCUGCUUGUGCCUCUCAUCUGGCUCCAUUUGCUCAGAUUGCUUUAUGGAAGAAAUGCUAAAAAUAAAAGGGAUAAUUUUCAAAAAAUAAACUGUUAUUAAAAAAUAAUUUUAGAUUUACAGAAAAGUUGCAAAAAUGGUACAGUUUCUAUAACCCUCACCCAGUUCCUGUAAGGCUUUCUUCUCACAUUAACAGGAUACAUUUGUCGAAAUUAAGAAACCAACAUUGGUACAUUACUGUCAACUAAACUUCAGGCUGUAUUUGGGUUUCUCCAGUUUUUCUUUAAUGUCUCACUUCUGUUCCAGGAAUUAGCCCAGAUACCACUUUUCAUAUAACCAUGUCUCUUUAAUCUCCCCUGGUCUGUGAUAAGUUUCAGUCUUUCCUUGUUUUUUCAUGACCCUGGCAAUUUUGAAGAGUGCCAAUUGGAUAUUUUGCAGAACGUCACUCCAGUUUGGGGUUAUCUUCUUUUGUGCAAUUAGAGUGAGAUUUUGGGUUUUAGGGAGGAAAACGGCAGAGGUGAAGUGCCUUCUCAUCAUAUCCUCUUGGGCCACAUGAUGUCCACGUGACAUCACUGGGAUGUUAGCCUUGAUCUCUUGGUUGAGGUGGUGUUUGCAGGUUUCUCCACUGGAACAUUUCUCUUUUUCCCUUUUCAUACUCUGCUUGUUGGAUGUAGACAAGCAUCUUUUGCUUAACGUGCUUGUCUUCUCUCUGGACAUUGCAUCUCUGCUAACACUGCCUGGCCCCUGUGCCUCUCAAGGCAGGUGUCCAGAUGCUGGCUCUCUUGGAGUAUCUGACCCAGCAACAGUGGGUGACAUGAAGUACUGGCUCUGGUUCAACCCAUUUAGCUUCUACCCUGGAGGAAAAUGAGGCCAAAGGAAGUUAAAGACCCAGCGAAUCAGGGUCAACUUAUUGACUUGGUGUCAGGUCUUCUGUCCUCAAUCCAGCAUUAUUUCUUAACCUGAUAUGACUAUGGACAUAGGGACAGAGAAGUAGAUGUCCAAGGUGAGAGCUGGCUCAUGAGGUGCUGGACAGAGCGUGUGGUGGCUUUACUCUCAUGUCCCUGUCAGCCUCAGCCUCUUGCUCAUUGGCCAGGUUUGAGUCAUACUUUCACCUCCAGAGGCAGGAGUUGGGGUCAACCCACCUUGCUCACAGGGAUGGCAGUGGAAGAGGGUGGUUUCCAAAGGGAAAUCAAGGUACUGUCCUAGGAGGAGCAACCGAUGCCCGACAGGACAGAACAACAUAUGGCCACUACAGGUGUGAAAUCCAAGUGGUGACAGCAAGAAGUUGGGGGUCUCUGUGACUCCUGGGCCACUUUGCUGGGGAUCUUUAAUGCAUAAAGGACACAUUGUAUGUAUACGAGUUAGGCUUUGUAUAUGUCAUCUGAGCCUAUUCUUUCUUCUUUGCAUUAGAUAAGUAAAAGAAAAUAACACAAUACAAUAAUAAUACUGCAUCCUUGUAUAUUAUAGAAGCACUUUGCAUAUUAUAGAAGUCCUUUUACACACUCAUUCUCAGUUGAUUCUUGCAAUGAUUCUGUAAAAUAAGCAUCACAGAUGUGAAUGUCCCCCCAUUUUACAAGUGAAGCAAGUGAAGCUCAGAAAUAUUCAGUCAAUUGCUUGAUUCCAUGAGUGCCUUGCUUACUUCCCAGUCUGCCUUGCAGUACAUGCGUCUGAAUUCUCUCCCCAUGUAUCUGUCCUUCUGUGUGCCUUCUCAUGCCAGGGGCAGGCUAGAAAUGCUGAGCCAUUAAGGCCCCUAGAAACAGUCUCUGGACCAAUGAUGAAUGUGAAUUGGAGGUUAAAUACCCCAGCUUCCUUGCUCCUGGAGCAAAGAAGGAGAAUAAUACUUCUGAGGCGUGUGCUCUAGCCUGUGUCUCUCAGCUCCUCAGCUGUUCUCAGUGUCCGCAUGCUUGAUCAGGCACCCUUUCGGGUGUCCUUCCCUCCCUGUCUUAAUUCCUUGUCCCCCUACCAGCACUUCCUGGGAGCAGCUCCCAAAUAAAUGACUUGCACUCAGAUCUUUGUCUUAGGGCUUGUUUUUGGGAGAACCCAACUUAAGACAGCCACAGCAUCACAUAGUGGUUGUAUAUUUCCACUGUAAGUGACAGAAACCCCAGCUUAAGCUGGCUCCAGCAGAAAAAGAAUUUACUGGUUCAUGUAAUUGAACAGUCCAGUCUAAUAGCUCUAGCUUCAGGCAUGAUUGAAUCUGUUUCUUUAAACGAUGUUACCAGUGCUUGAUUUCUCUCUUUCCACCUCUCUGCUCUGAUUUCCUCUGUGUUGAGUUCUUCUCAGGCAGACUAUCUUUCCAGCAGCUCACAUGAUCCCCGAUUCAAGUCAAAUGGAAAAGAAAGCAUCUCCCUCCAGGAAACUCCAGGUAAUCCUGAGAUUGGAUCUGAUUGGCUCUGACUGCAUCAGGUGCUUACCUUUGAACCAAUCACUGUGCUCAGUGAGGUAUAAAUGGCCAGAUUUGGGCCAUAAAGACCACCCAGGAAGCUGGUGUUCUGGUUGGCUGCACCCAGUCGCAAGGAGUAAAACUGGAUGGCAGUCAUUAUUGAGGGAAGAUGUUGGGGUUUUUUUACAGAAAAGGGAGAAUCAACACUGUUCAGAUUGUCACCUACACCAUCUGACUCUUCGUACUUUGAAGAAAAAAAAAAGUGCUAUCUUCUGAGAAAAAAAUAAUAUAUUAGUUCCAUUUAAUUUCAACAAAAAUAUAAGUCAUAAAUGCCUCACUAUUACUGGAUACGCUUAGAUAUAGAAAAGAAGUAAAAACUCUAAGAACCAUAAAAUAAUUGUUUUAUAGGGCAUAAAUCAUUCCAUGUUUUUUUUUGUUUGUUUGUUUGUUUGUUUUUGAGACAGGAUCUUCCUCUGUCACCCAGGCUGGAGUGCAGUGGAACAAUCUCAGCUCACUGCAGCCUUGACCUCCUGGGCUCAAGCGAUCCUCUCACCUCAGCCUUCCAAGUAGCUGGGACUACAGGCUCACACCACCGUACCCGGCUAAAUUUUUUUUGUAUUUUUGGUAGAGAUGGGGUUUUGUUAUGUUGCCCAGGCUUGUCUCCAACUCCUGAGCUCAGGUGAUCUGCCUGCCUCAGCCUCCCAAAGUACUGGGAUUACAGGCAUGAGCCACCACUCCAGGCCAAAUUUUUAUUGUUUUGUAAUAGGAUUAUAGGAUAUGACAGGGAAGCAUACCAUCAAAGAUUCAAAGGACAGAAAAACCACAUCUAAGAGGACAGUAUUUACUUGUUGAAGGACAGGGAAAGCUGGAGUGGGUGGUGAUGGCUGGAGGGGAGGCCCUUUCAGGCAGUUGAUUCAAUGAGUAUGGUUGAGUUUUCAUGUGGCAGAAACUUAAGCAAAAGUGGUCACUUUCAUUUCUUCCCUUACAACAAUAGUGUACUACUUACCACAAUUUUAUUGGCAUACUGCAGGUAAGUGAAAUAUAAUAGCUUAACAUAGCUGUGCACAAACUGUUUCAGUAAAGGGACAGAGAAUACAUAUUUUAAGCCUCAAGAGCCAAGAGGGAAAAUAGAGAAUAUUAAGUGGGCACUUAUGCAACAAGAAAGAAGACAAAUUUUCAUACAUUUUUCAAUGACAAAAUUCAAAAUAUAAUAAUCGAGUUCAAGUUUUUGUAAUACAGGUCUACUAACGAGAAAAAAAAUAGAAUUCUUAAUUUUGAGAAAACCAGGCACAGUGGCAAGGUCCUGUAAUCCCAGCUACUCAGGAGGCUGAGGCAGGAGGAUUGACUGAGGCCAGGAGUUAGAGGCUGUAGUGUGCUAUAAUUGCACCUAUGAAUAGCCAUUGCAUUCCAUCCCAAGCAACAUAAUGAGAGCUCAUCUCUAAAAAAAAAAUUCUUAUUUUGAGAGAGAUAAAUAAUUUUUCUUAAUUGAAGCUCAGUUAGUAUUCUCUAUCAUCAAAUCAAUUGCGAACAUUCACCUAUAAAAACCACCGUUAGCUUGAGGGCCAUAAAAAAUACAGUGGGCUGAAUUUUACCCACAGGCUGUAGUUUGCUGACCUUUGGUUUAAUCAGAAAGGGAAUUUACUGACUUAUAGAGUUAAAAAAAUAGAGGUGAACAGUUUUCAAACAGAGCUAAUUCAGAACUCCAGUUUCAUUUCUUUGAGAUGACCUUUGUUCUGCCCUCCUUCCUAGGAUGGCUUUAUCCUGAGACUGGGUUCCUUCAAGGAUGCCUUAGGAACUAGACUGUAUAUUUCAUAUUCACAUCCAGGAAGGGAGAAAGAGUCACUUCUCUGAGCAAAGGUCCUGAGCUUCACUCUGAUAGGAGCAAAGUUGAGCCAAGCACUGUGCCACGGUGCUAGGACCAAUCAGGGAAGUGACUUGGGUACAGAUUUCAUAGGUGUUAUGCAGUGGAAGGGGCAUAGAGUGGAGGGGGAAGAGAGGGAACAUCCACUGUAAGUAAACUCUGAAGAAUAACACAGAAAAGAGGGAGUGGAUGGGCAAUUUUUACAAAGUGAAUGUGCUCCACCCUUAUCUUGAUGUCUCUGUGGGAGAUCUUGCUACUCUGGAAUACCUGUUAUCAGGCGCAUUUUUCUCAAAACAAAUGGUAGGAAUUGUCAAACACCACCUUAGUGGUAUUUUACAGAGGCCCUGUCCUCAGCACCUGUGGUCUUAUUACUUAUAUUAACUUCCCAUGAACAAGUCUUAACAUUCUCCUGAGUGAUAGUCUGCCAGUCCUGCAACCUCUAGCUCUUAACCAAAAUCCUGUAUUAUCCCCUUAUUCCCUUCCUUCUCAAAAGGGAUCCUUGAGAAGACAUAUUCAAUAUCCUUGACAGAAUGAUUGAGCCAUGAAUCAUUUUACAUCUUUUAGGGUAUAAGCCUUAUUUUCUUCUAUCUAUGCCCAUCCUAGUGCCUUUAUGAAGUGGAAAGCACACGGAGGGGUUCUGCUUUUUCUCGUCUCCAGUAGUUUCUUACAGACCAGUAGCACUGCGUAAGGUAAUUUGGAAGAACUAAAAAAGAAGUAUAAGCAACAAUUCUACAGCUAUCACCAUGAGAAUAUGUAGAACACAGAUCAGCAAACUAUGGCCCUCAGGCCAAAUCCAGCCCACUGUGCUUUUGUAAAUAAAGUUUUAUUGGCACACAGCCACACCCAUCCAUGAUGUAUUGUGUAUGAAUGCUUUCAUGCUGCAAUUGCUGCAAUGGCAGAAUUUGGUAACAGAAACCUGGCAACACAAGUUAGGGCUUAUAUGUUUCUCUUAUCACAAGAAACCUGGAGUUGUGUAUUCCAGGCAUAGUACAAAGGUUUCCUGAUUCCAUCAAGGACCCUGGGUUCUUUUCACCAUCCUUGGUGUAUGGCUUCCGUCUUCAGGCUUUUGGCAACAUGGUGGCUCCACCUCUAGACACUGUGCCUACAUUCCAGGGAGGCAGAUAGGGAAAGGACAGUGAGCAGAAGUUAUGUGUCAGCUGAUUUGGCUCAUUUUUAUAAAAAAAUACUUUUUUAGGGCUUCCCAGAAAUCCCCACCCAGCAGAUUUCCAAUUACAUUUCGUUGGGCAAAACUAUAUCACAUGGCUGAAACUAGCUAUACUGGAGCCUGGGGAACUGAUGUUUUUGGAUUUCCACAUUGUUCUCUUGUUCAUUGUUCAUUGUUUUGUUUUUGUUUUUGUUUUUGUUAUUGUUUUGAGACCGGGUCUUUCUCUGUUGCCCAGGCUGAAGCACAGUGGCAUGAUCAUGGCUCACUGUAGCCUCAAACUCUUGGACUCAAGGAACCCUCUCACCUCAGCCUCCAGAGUAGCUGGGACCACAGGCAUGCACCACCACACUCAGCUAAUUUUUUGGUGUUUUGUAGAGACGAGGUCUCACUAUGUUGCCCAGGCUGGUCUCAAACUCCUGAGCUCAAGUGAUCCUCCUGCCUCAGCCUCCCAAAAUGCUGGGAUUACAGGCAUGAGCCACUGUUCCUGGACCCCACAUUGCUCUUUUAAGUUAGAUGAGAAGGUGAAAAUGGAUAAUAAGUAGGCAACUACAAACAUCUUCCACACCAGGGACUCACAAAUCCAAAUGCCUACAAGGAUGGCAGGAGAUUUAAAUGGGUGCUUUAUGCCACUGGAGACACCAGAAACUGGUAGGAAUUAUGAUGAAGUUGAGAGUACCCACCCUACCUACAAUUAUUCAACUUCAAAAUUUCCUAGAACAAUCAUCUAUGGACCUUGAGCUUUUGACAUCCUCUUUGGAUAAUGCUUCUCACAUGAGCUAGUCAUUUGAAAAGUGUAUUUCAAGGGGUCAGCCAUUGAUUCAUUUAUUCUAUAGCAUUCUACAAAUAUUCAUUUACCACUCACUUUCUUCUGGUGUUCCAGACUGUGGUCUGUGGCUCUCCUUGUGCAGUUAUUAAAUUCAGAAACCACAAAUCAACAUGCAAAUCAAAAUUUGUUUAGGCUAAAUAGGUAAUGUGUUUGCACAUUAUAUAUGACUGUUUUAAAAUGUAGGUGGAGGCCUUUGUGAGUCAUAAAAUAGAAAUUCAUUGAACAAAAGUACCCCUGGUUUCAGAGUAGCUCUCUGUGAUACAUUUUCUCACUCAACAGAUACUCAAAAGCAUAAGCACUAUUGUGAGAAAGUCUUACUAUUUUUUAUAUUAAAAAAUUCUCAUAUGACAAAAAGGUGGAAAAAAAUUUGCUAGGUACUGGGGGCUACGGAAAUGGUGAGAUGAAUAUGUCAGACCCUCAAUUUUUAGAAAACUCACAGCACAGUAGGGAUAAAAAAUAUGAAUUAGGUAGGACUCUUUUGGUUGCAAGUGAUAGAAACUCAAUUUAAACUGACUUAAGGGAAAACAAAGAAUAUACUGAAUUAUUUGUCUAAAGGUUCAGAAUUGGGCUGGGCACAGUAGCUCAAACCUAUAAUCCCAGCACUUUGGGAGGCCAAGGCAGGUGAUCAUGAGGUCAGGAGUUCAAGACCAGCCUGGCCAAGAUGGUGAAACCCCCGUCUCUGCUAAAAAUACAAAAAUUAGCCCAGCUUGGUGGCAGGUGCCUGUAAUCCCAGCUACUCAGGAGGCUGAGACAGGAGAAUUGCUUGAACCCAGGUGGCAGAGGUUGCAGUGAGCCAAAAUCAUGCUACUGCACUCCAGCCUGGGUGACAGAGUGAGACUCUGUCUCGAAAAAAAAAGUUCAGAAUUAAGCACAUUCUUCGCUCAUUCAGGCAUGCUUGGACCUAGAGUCUAAACAGUAUCUUCAAGAUUUAGUCUCGCUCCAUUUCCUGGUUUUUCCUUUCUCAAUGUUGGAUUCAUUUUCAUGCUCUCCCUUUCUCCCCAGUAUAAACAAAAACUGUCCAAGAUUACAGUAUUGUAGCUCCAAACACCUUCUAAUUCUAUUGGGAAGAGAUAUCAACCUUUCCCAUAGCUCCUCUGAAUUAACUCUCAUUAGAUUAAUCUUUCAGGUGAAUCAGUUGCUGUGGCAAGAGGAAUGGGAGAUACUAAUGGGUCAGAUUUUGAAUAUGUGUCUCAUGUAUCUGGGAGGAGUUUAGCACCAAUCAAUCCACAUGGAUUGAUGAUGGAGUCUUUGGGGUUUUUAAGGAGAAAUAGGAAUGUUAUUAUGAGAAGAAGGAGGAAUAAAUGCUGGAAAGGCAAAAAACAACAGACACUCACUAGAAACAAACCAAAAUCAACAUCCCCGAGGAAGAAAAUAAUGAAUGACACCAGACAGACUCGUUUGUUUCAUUCAGUGUUUUCUUCAAUAAACAUUUACCAAAAUUUGUUAUUUUAGUGGAGGUUGUUGAUUGCCAAUAUCUACUCCCACCUUCCAUUCCUUUUUUUAUCUUUUUUUUUUUUUUUUAUCAGAACCAUUGACUUUGUUCAACUAUCCCCCCUUGAAGUGGCUGUGUUUGAGAGAAGGCUGCUCCAUUUCCAAACCCAAGGGCAAGUCUUGACUAUCUAAGCCAAUCCUCUCAGUGCCAUUUCCGUUGCUGUUGAUUUGUUUAAGGCAUAAACGUAAGUAGAAUUUGAGGCAAUGAAAUAUGAAGUCACCAGAAAGCUUCUAGGAAGGCUAUUCUUGCUCUUAAAAAAAAUACAGUUAGGGGUCCUCAAAGGGAGCUAACUUGUAGACCUACUCUACAUGAGAUAAAUGUGGAAAUAGCAUGGGCUCUUGGAUAAUGUUGCUGAGGAAAUUAAUGACUCUAGACAUGACCCUACCUCUAGAUUUCUAGUUGUAUAAGAAAAUUAUUUCUAUAUUUUGAGUUACAUUGGGCUUUUGGGUUAUUUGUAACAAAUGUACUUCCUAUAAAUGACAGGUCCAGGGCCAGGCAUUGAGGAUAAGAAAUCGUAGGAUGUAUGCCCUCUAUUCAUAUGAUGCUUCCAUUUUAAUCAGCUGGAAAUUGUUAUUUUUUCCCACUUUAUUCUACUUCUUUCUCUCUGUGAAGUUAACAAAGUACCCAAGGGGACUGGAUCAAGGAAAACAUGAGGGCAAACUCAAUAUGUUGCUCUCAAAGUGGUCCCUGAUCAAAUGCUCUGGCCUUGCCAAGAGAAUCAGGAGCCCUUGAAGCAAAUAUGUCUUCUUCCCCAGAAACAAAAUUCAAAGUGUGUGGCCCUGCACUUGUGGGUCAGGAAUGCCAUCUUCACAGACAAAGGAAAAUAUAUUCUCCUUUAUUCCCAUUUUUAAAACCCCAAUUACGGGCACAAUGAGGAUCCAUGGAACCCCACGAACACUAAUAAAAAUAAAGCACUUAGCUCAUGCAAUCUUGUCUUUUUAUUUUCAAUAUCACUUACAAUGUAAGCUUUUUACAAAAUCAAAUCCUUUCUCACCAACGAUAUGAUUUUCCCUGAAAAGGCUUUGAAGUAUCCCGCCGUUACUACUUCUGUACACAAACAUUAGCAGAAGCCCUGCUAGGCAGGAGGACAAAAAUAAUUGUUCAGUCUUCAUUUUAAUUUAACCUUUUGUAAAUUCCUACUUUACAAAAGUUCCCCUUGACUUACUGGCAUCAUAUUGAGAAAAUUUAUGAGGUAGUCCAUUCUUGUUAAGACAGCAAAUCUCCAUGAAUCUUUUCCCCCAUGAAAGACUGUCCUGGACCCUUCACCCCUUUUAAUUUAGGCAUCUUGCUCUCUUUCUUUACCAUUUGCAUGGGUCCCUUUGUCACCUUAACAUUAUUGUCUAAUGGUUUCUGUACAAUUAAGGCAUUAUGGAGGUGAACAUUAAUAUGUCUCAGAAAAUUUACGAAGGCCAUAUAUCUUGAUGUUUGCAAAAGGAUGUGCCAGAGAUUGGCUAGGAAUGCCGGUGCUCAGCUCUUCCAGCUGAUGUAAGGAACGGAGUUCAUUAUCUGUCAUAUUGGUAGUAGGACAGAAACAAGACCUUUGGCAGGAAGGUGUGAAAAGGGAAUGAGUAGCCAGCCUGGUGUAAAUCAGGAGGGGAAAUACAGGUUUAAGCUAUUUUAGAUCUGGUUUAAUAGAAGAGUGACUAAAAAGGUGGGAUCAGUAUUCACAUUGCCCUGUGCGAUGAUUAAUAUUGAGUGUCAGCUUAAUUGGGUUGAAGGAUGCAAAGUAUUGUUCCUGGGUGUGUCUGUGAAGGUGUUGCCAAAGGAGAUUAACAUUUGAGUCAGUGGACUGGGAGAGGCAGACCCACCCUCAAUCUGGGUGGGCACCAUCUAAUCAGCUGCCAGCAUGGCUAGGAUAAAAGCAGGCAGAGGAACAUGGAAGGACUAGACUGGCUGAGGCUUCUGACCUCCAUCUUCCUCUUAUGCUGGAUGCUUCCUGCCCUCGACAUCAGACUCCAAGUUCUUCAGCUUUUGGACUCUCAGAUCUACACCAGUGGUUUGCCAGGCACUCUCAGGCCUUUGGCCACAGAUUGAAGGCUGUACUGUCAGCUUCACUACUUUGGAGGUUUUGGGACUUGGACUGGCUUCCUGGCUCCUCUGCUUGCAGGCAGCCUAUUGUGGGACUUGACCUUGUGAUUGUGUGAGUCAAUAUUCCCUAACAUGCUCCCUUUUAUAUGUACAGCUGUCCUAUUAGUCCUGUCCUUUUAGAGAACCCUGACUAAUACACACCAUUUUUAGAUUCUCACUCAUACCCGCUAGCCACCUGCCAUUGUUUUAUAGCCUCUCUCUUCUUCAGUUUCUUCAUUUGUAAGGUGGAGGUACAUUUAGAACACAACCUUAAGUCCAUACCAUGGCCUACCAGGUUCCCGCGAUCUGGUCCCACCUUGGUCUCAGGCCUCCAGUGCCUUCCUGGCUUUCCUGGAACCCUGGGCUUCCACCACGUUGGUCUCCUUUCCAACUCCGCAGUGUAACGACAGCUGCUUCCCACCUCAAGGCCUUUGGCCCUGACAUUACUUCCUCUUCCAUGAAAUACUUCUCCCCAGAUGCUCAAGGGUGGGCUCCUUCUCUUCAUUUAUGAACCAGGUUAAAUUGGACUUUCUCACAUCGUUUCCCAGAGGCAGACUUGAGUAGUUUAUUUAGAAGGUGAUCCCGGGAAUCAGAGGAAUAGAGAAGGAAGGAGAGUUAAGUCAAGGUGAUAUUGAUGAGAAAUUGAUCACUGCAGACAACUGGAACUCAAUUCUGCAGGGAGUUUCUGGGAGACAGUGUGAAACCUCCUCCGAGUUGUGCUAUAAGGGGCUGGGAAGCCGUGAUGGUUUUCCACCAAUUCCCGUCCUCUGCAUGUGGAGGGGCACUCCUGGAGGGGCUCAUUAUUUGGCACUUCCAGCCUCUGCUCGUACAGAUUGAGCGUGAAUCUCGCUGCAUUACAGAAGGCUCUAUGGCAGAGAGAUGCAGGUGCUAGGGGUAGGAAGCUCUCGAAGCGCAAGGGAACUGCCCAGCAGGGUGCCACUUGGGCGCCAUGGGUGUGACAAGGGAAUAUGUGCGGGGAGCUGACUGUCCUCUGGAGUCCUCCAUUGAUCUCUGUUCCUUCAUCCCGUCCAUGGCCUUGAAAGCACUUACUACAAUUGUGAAUCAUACCCUUCUUGGUUUGUGUAUUUUUUUAAAUUUAUUUUGUUGUUGCUGUUUUUGUUUGUUUGUUUUUUGAGACAGGGUCUCACUCUGUUCCCCAGGCUGGAGUGCAAUGGUGCAAUCAUAGGUCACUGCAGCCUCAACCUCCUGGGCUCAGGUGAUCCUCCCACAUCAGCCUCCCAAGUAGCUAGGACUACAGGUAUACCCCACUAUACCUGGCUGAUUUUUUAUAUUUUUUGUAGAGACAAGGUCUCGUUAUGUUGUGCAGGCUGGUCUGGGACUCCCAGGCUCAAGCAAUUCUUCUGCCUCAGCCUCCCAAAGUGCUGGGAUUACAGGCAUGAGCCACUAUGUAUUUGUGUAUUUGCUAAAUUAAUACGUACCUAUUUGAAGGGUCUCAGGGAACAGAGCGAUGUUUGAAUGUUCUUGAGUGUUUCUUUGAGUGUUCUUGAGUGUUUCUUUAGUGAUCAGCAAAAAGGUGAUAAUCAAAGUAUUUAAGCACCUGAAGGGCAGGGUUGUCGAUCAUCCAAAAGUUCACCCAUCCUGCUUUGUGGUAAGUUUCUGGAAGUAAAAUUGCUGUGUCUAAGAUACAAUGCUUUUAAAGCAGGGCAUGCCUUUGUUAGUUACAUUUUCGAGAAUCUUCAUAAACCCAAACAGUACAGGUUUAAAGUGCAGGCAUGGCAUCAAAUUAAAUUCUGAGGAUCUCAAAUAUGAGGGCCUUGGUAAUGAACAUGAAAAAUCCUUUUUUUUUUUGAAGCUGCAUAAGCAAGAUGAUUUUGAAAGUUUAAAAACGAGUGUGUGUAUGUGUUUUGUGUUCCACUAAAAGCCCAUUUAAAACCUACUUGAGUGCUUUUUCAUUUAGUUUAUAAGUAUUCAGAACAUCAGAAUAAAGCCUCAGGUUUAGGGAAGCCUCUACCCUCUCCAGCUAGGCUGCAUGACUAAAAAAAAUCAAAAAAGGAAAAUUUUACUUUGACAAAUAUAAUACCUACAUUGGGAAUAUGCAGACAAGUUUUUCCCUAAAAGGUUAACUAGAGACAAUAAUUACUUUCUCCAGAGAUCACCAAAGUGACAUGCUGCUGUCUUGAUUUCAUUGCUGUUUUGUGAUGUGCGUUUCUUGCCACUUAUAAAUGAAACAAAUGAGGUUAGAUGGCAAAGAUUAUGAAAGGAAUUAGCAAUAAUGAGCCUGGGAACAAAAAAACAUUAUUAUAGAAAAUUGAGUUGACCUCACUUUCAUAAUUAUUCACUUUAAUUUUUUUUUGUAGUGUAAUUUGAAUGAAAUUAAAUAAUACUAAUAUUCCUCCUGCCACUGACAAGGAAUUUCAUGUAAAGAUUAAUAACUUUUAAAACUAAAGAUUUGGCUGCCAUCUUAGAGGUCACUGUUGCUAUUCCAGGGAGCUUUCUGUCCUCUACAUGAUCCUGAACCGCCUAUGCCAAAACCACAAUUUUCUCCUCAAAGAUCUAAGGUCACGUGACUCUGUGGCACAGGAAUUGCAUCUCCCUCCAACCUCCGUGAGAUUCAUUUCUCUCCUGAGAUUCACUUCUCUUACUUUUCCCAAUUUCUCCAUGAGAAUGUUCUCAGUAAAUCAUGCUAAUGUGUGAUGGAAGCAGACAUUUUCAGUUAAUUGGGUGGGCAUAAUUUGAAUUUGAAAUAUAUAAAUUUUUCAUAGGGCACUCCUUGAAGACAUCACACUCAUUAAGUUGGGGUUUGAAGGUGAGGUGAGUCAAUAUAGAACUUUCUACUUGUUUGUAAUUUUGGCCAAUAGUAACCUGAAGAUGCACUGAACAUGUAUCAUGUAAUAGACACUGAGUCAAGUAGUUCACGUGUGUCAUCUAAUUUAAUUCUCUCUGUGGCCCUAUAAGUACUGUUGUCUUCGUUGUUCUGCAGAUACUGCAACUGCAACUCAAAUACAUUGCAGAGGUCAAAGAAGGGCUGACUCAAGAUUUGAACUCUUACACCUACCCCCAAACCUGAGCUCUUAGCCAACAAGAUGGAAUCAAAGCAAGCCAAUCAAUAGAAAUAUUGGUGUUGACAUCCGAUAGUCUGUGAUCCAUCUCUGCUCACUCACUUAAUAUCUUUGCAUGUAACUCUCUCAUUUCGAGUUUACACUUAGAAAACUGAAAUAAUAACAACACCAAACUUACUGAGUUGCAGUGACUAUUAAAUGGGGAACAUAGUGAAGUACCUUGAACACUGAUGAAUUACAGUGAUGCUCAAUAAAUGUUGACUUUUCUCCAUUACUUAUGGACACUUUUCUUUCUAAGGCUUGGAAAGCAUUUAGCACAGUGUGUGGCACAGGGAUACCAGUCAGUAAUAAUAUUAGCUAACCGUUUACUGGUACCUACAAUGUGCUUGGCUCCACAUUGCAUGCUCUGCAGGUGGCAUCUCUCUAAUCCUCAGCAGUGUCCUGUGCUGACGGUGCCAUGUCUGCCCUCAUUUUGGAGAGAGUAGCUGGGUGGUUUCCAUCUGGUAAGCAAUGGAGUUGGAGUUCAAGCUCAGAAUCCAAGCUCUGAGUCAGCGAUUUUGCCAGCUGCUGUGGCUCAUCGUGUUGUCAUUAAAUUCGAUGAGUCUACCAUUGGCUUGUAAAUGUCUUUCCAUUUCAUCACACCUGGAAUGAUCACUCUCUCUUUCGAACUUCAAUGGCUUUUACUGUCUAUCUAAAUCAGUAGGUAAUAAAUCAUGGCCUCUAGUUCAUUAUGGCCUCCCAUGCUUUCCUGAAGUGUUUAAAUCACUAUUGCCUUUGUUUGUUCAUUAAUUUGGUCACCCAGUCACUCAGCAAACAUAAUUGUGUGUCUGUUAUAUUCCAGGCACUGUGGGAGAUUCUGAGGGUACAGAGGAGAACUGAAGAGACUUGGUAUUCACUAAGGGAAAAGCCAAACUUCAAGGCGACUUAAACCUUUAUUUGGGGGGUCCUCUUUAGGAAAAGAACAUUAAAUUACAUACACACAGUUAGAUUCAGGGCCAGGGAGGAGGUCUUGCAAGUGAGGGGUUCUGAAACAUAAGCUUCAUUAGCUUCGUGGUAAAUCCACUACAGGUUUCCACUGUUACGGAUCUUAGAAUUCUAGAUUCUGCUGUAACCUCGAUAUAACAGGGAGGUCCUGCAGCCCUGAUCACUAUCCACAGAUUAAGUCAAAACAAAACAGAGCAUAAAUGUGACUACAAACCAUGAGGGAUUAUGAAAAUCCUUACUGCAGAUUUCCCCGAGGGAGCUAAUCUAGCAGCCAAAAUGACACGGUGUGCCAUACCCAAAGAUUCCUAAAAGUCAUUUUCCCUAAAACGUCGCUAUCUCUCACCCUGAACCUCCCAUUACCCUCACCAUCCUGCUGCUCUGUUUUCCACUCUGUCCCCGGCCUAACACUCUUUAAACCCUGGAAACCCUACCCCUGACUACGUGCGCACCCUAAACUGGUGUGGGCUAGUUUCUACUAUGAAUGUUUUUGUAGACACUGCUAGAAUUCACUACAACCUCCUUCACACAGACAUGCAGAAUUCUGGAGAAUUAAUUCUCCACUGAUCACCCCCCGUUUAAAAUUUUUCAGUUUUAUGUAUCAUUUCCCAAACUAAAGCAUAAGAGAUUUGAUGGCAGAGACUAAUUUAUAAUUUUUCAAUUUUCAGCCCAAUUGGGACCCCUCCCAGGCCAAAUAUUUUGAAAUUGAGGUAGUAAUUUUAAAAUAACAAUUAUAAUGAGGAACAACUGGCAAUUCUAUUUUAAAAAAAUUAUUAGCCAGGCUCAAAAUUUCAUCCUCAGUUUGGUCAUGAAGUUCAGGCUUGGAGCAAAACGAGAUUAAAAAUAAAUAGCAGAUGGGAGAAAAUUAUAUGACUGUUAAUCUAAAUGUUUAGCAUGUUGGACCCAAGCAGUGAUUCUCAACCCAGAGGACACAUGGCAAUGUCUGGACACAUUUUUGGUCAUCAAAACUAGGGAAGGAGGGUGCUACUGGCACUAGUGGGUUGAGGUCAGCGUUGCUGCUAAGCAUCCUACAGUGCUCAGGGAAGGCCCACGACAGAGAGUUAGCUGGCCCCAAACAUCAAUCAUGUUGAAGUUUUUAGAUCCUGAACCAGAGAACUCACAGAAACAAGCCUUACACCAAGUAACUAAUUAGCCAGUUACAUAAACAACUCAUCAGUUAACUAACCAACUAAUUAAUGAUAUGGAUCUCUUUUGACUGAAUUGACUCAAGUUUUCUCCCAAUUAAUAACUAGUCAAUUGAUGAGUAAAAUAACCACAUUUUAUAAAGUUGGCCUCUUUGUUUAGUUUGUUUAUGCAUGAAGCGUGCAUGACUGUGUGUGUAUGUGUGCAUGUGCACAGUGAUAGUGUAUGGCAAAGUAAUCACUUCUUUUCCUUAUCCUGAAAUGUCCUGCAUGUUUAUAUAUCAGGCAUAAGGUUGGACUGACUGUAAAUGGAUGAUCUGGCUUAAUCUCACUACAACACUGUAAGUGGGAUUAACCCCACUCAAAGAUGAUAACCUGUGGUUUAAAGAUCAGUAACUUGUCAAAGAUAACAUGAGCCCUGGUAGGUGAGAGAGACAUAUCUCAGUCUAGGCUGUCUCAGCCCCAAAGCCCAUCCUCUUAGCUAGGAUCUCUGAACUAUCACUUAUUCCACACCCUCUUCAAUGAUUUUUGCAUAUCCAUGAGAUACCUGCAUUAUUAUUUUUCUGAUUUUUAAAAAUUUAAAUAAAUUUAACCUUACUCUCAACAGUAACGGCCUGGAAUCAUGGGUUCAGCACCCUAGCAUACUUUAUAUUUCUAAUAAAUUUUGAGGAAUCACUGCUUUAACACCACAAUGUUAAGCCACCCCUCGCCUAUUUCAAAAUGGGUUUUUAAUGAUCAAGCACUAUAUAAGUGGAAAUUAUUGUAAUAAUUGAUUAGUUAAUCCACGUGAGGGCCACAAAGUACUCUCUAGAAGAAGUUCUGAGUGGCCAAAUUAAGGUAAGAUCAGCAAAAUAAAGAGUGCUGAUAAAGAAAAAGGAUUAAAGGAAAAUGCUUCUAAGGAGCUCCUGUGAUUAAAUGCAAUCGAAGGAGAACUCAUGGGUUAACUCAUUUCUGCCGAGCGCAGUUACAUAGUGCUCAGUUUGAUAAAGGACCCUGCAGUAGCUUUCAAAUGGAGAAAUGGGAAUUAGUGGCAUUCCCUCUCCAAUUACUAAUUUUACAGAAAUGCAAACAGCUCAGCAAAGGGAACACAUUGUCCGUUCCAAGGCUUUCCGUGAACAAAUACAUUUGAUAUUUGAGACAGCACCCUGUAUGAAAUAGGCCCUGAUUUUCAAUAUACCCUUGAAUUCUUUUAUCUUGUUGUCAAUAGGUUUAAUAAUUGAUUGUGGGGAAAACACAAUAGGGUAAGAAAAAUACCAGGGUUAUCUCAAGAGUUCUGGAGGAAUGAUUUGUGUCAAAUUAGGUGGGUAGUUUUUUAUUUUUAUUUUUUAUUUUUCCAAUUAUAUACAGUGCCAUUCACAAGCUAAAUUCUCACUGAUUUAACCUCUUUCUUCUCUGUUCCAUUUAGCUGGAAUAAACCCCUGUGGCCAAUCUUCUAUGAAUGAAAUUGUCCAUCUUUCCUAGGAAUGAGUCAAUCUGUGUAUUUGUGAAUUUCAAAUAUAAGUGUGACUACUAUGGUAGAAGGAAAUAGCUGUCAGAAUAAAGAGAAAAGGAGAUGGAUUUUCCACCUUGUCAUGAUUAACACACUUUCUCAGUCGUUCUUGGCCAGCAUUUGCAAAUAGUGACUGUUGUGGCUAAUUGGAGUAUUCCUUGCAGUUUUCUCAUGUCAGCUUAUACGAGCCAACAUAAAGAAAUACCUUUGUGGACUAGAUGCAGUCAUCUCACGCUUUACAGUCUCCAUCGUUUUGAUCCCCCCAAUAGCCCUGUGAAGUAGGAAAGAGGUGUGUCUUGGAUUCCCACAGUGUCUUGGAUAGCUUUGUUAUGGUACCUACUGCAUUAUACCGAAAUUUAGUAUUUAUUGUGUGCUUUCCCAACAGCACUGUGACCUUUUGCAAAGUGACCUUCCUUAGGGCUUUAAACAUAGUAGGCAUUCGAUAAACCUUCACUAAGUAAAUGUGUUGUUCUCUCUCUGAACUGUGUUUCUAGAGCAGUGGUUUUCAACAGCGGUGGUGUUGUCCUCAGGGGAUAUCUGGCAAUGUCUGAAGACCUUUGGCUGAGGUGGGGGUGGGGUACUGGUGGCAUCCAGUGGGUGGAGGCCAGGGAUGUUGCUAAACAUCCUACAGUACACAAGACAGUCCUUCAUGCAAAGAAUUAUCCCACCCCAAAUCCAAAUGUCAAUAGCGCCGAAAGAGAAAGCCUGCUUUAGAGGUAUCUAAUACACACCCAAAAUGGGAGAUGAAUUUCCUGUGACACUCAUAAAACAUUAGGGUCUCACCCACUGGCAUCAGCCCUUCUAAAGCUCUGGGAGGGGCCAUAUGAUUUUGCCCAAUUUGCAAAUGUAGGUGGCUACAGGAAGCUUUUGGACAUGUCUAAGGGGAUGCCCUAGAAUUUAUUUGGUUUGUCUCAUGUGGAACACACAUAUGGGGUUUUAGGUGACUUUGCGUACAGUAAAGUUACUGCUCACUUUACUGGUGUAGGAAUGACUUCCAGAAUAUUCUUAAUGCUCACUUUGCCAUCUCUCCCAGCGGAUGGUGAUACAAAGGUGAAGGCCAGAGGCUCUGUAGGGCUACGUGUGUUUUCUAGGCACUUAACACUCAAUGUAAGUGGGUAGUGGAGGAGACACAAAGUUAAAAAUAUAGGGAGCCAGGCUGGGCACAGUGGCUCACACCUGUAAUCCCAGCACUUUGGGAAGACUGAGGUGGGUGGAUCACCUGAGGUCAGGAGUUCGAGACCAGCCUGGCCAAUAUGGUGAAACCCUAUCUCUACAUACAAAAAUUAGCUGGGCGUGGUGGUGGGCACCUGUAAUCCAAGCUACUCGGGAGGCUGGUGCAGGUGAAUCGCUUGAACCCAGAAGGGGGAGGUUGCAGUGAGCUGAGAUCAUGCCACUGCACUCCAGCCUGGGCAACAGAGGGAGACUCAGUUUCAAAAUAAAUAAAUAAAUAAAUAAUAAAUAAACUAUAUGGAGCCAGAAGCUAGUUUGCGGGAAGUUUUUCCAUUCACCAAAUGUGUAAACUGAAGUGACGGAUGGAUUUCCCAUUGAUGCCAUGGCAAAAUAGAAUUUCUUUCCUGUGAGAACACAUGGACACAUGCAAGGGAACAGCAGACACCGGGGCCUACCAGAGCGUGAAGAGUGGGAGGAGGGAGAGGAUCGGGAAAAAUAACUAAUGGGUACGAGGCGUAAUGCCUGAGUAAUGAAAUCAUCUGUACAAUAAACCCCUGUGACAUGAGUUUACCUACAUAACAAAGCUGCACAUGUACCCCUGAACUUAAAAGUAAAAAAAAAAGAUUUCUUUCCUGUCUGAAAUACAGUUGAUAAUACAGUGUAUACAAUUAUGAAAGCACCACAUAUUUUUCUGUUUUUUAAAAAAUAAGCCGAAGAAAAUGUGCCAGAAUUCCUGAAUCGUAGGGCAUGAACCUGUGGCAGCAGUGGGAAGGCAAGUACAUCUGUCUAUGAAGUUACAUGUUCUACGUAUACCAAUUAUCAAUAAUAUGAAACCAAUUUUAAUUAACCAUGUUAGAGGAAGGUCUGAAUUUCUUUACUAUUUCUUAUGAAAAAUAUACAAAAAGUAUCAUAAGAAAAGAUUAUCAAAUUUUAGCUGACGUAAAAUGUGGAAAAGAGAUCUAUUAUGGAGUUAUAUCAGGCAGUUAACUAAUACAAACUGUUGUGUUUUUUUUUUUGAAUCUUGUGAUGCUAGUGGUAUUUUCAGUUUUUAGUACUUGCAAUUUGUUAAGAUUUUAUUUUAACUCUAAAUACAUGUACACUUCUGUACUGAAUUUUAUAUUCUUGUGUUAUUGUGCUUAAUUAGAGGUUCCAAAUUGUAUAAGCUCCAGGAGCUGCAGACGGGUAUCCUCUGGAUGACUCACACACUUUGAUCACCAGAGUAGACCUUUCCUGCAAGCUCCUUUGAGUGUUAGACUCAUAUUAAAUCACCUUGACAUCAGCUCUGGGAUACCUCAGAGACAUCUCCAAACUCAGUAUGUCCAAAGUCAGUCUUAUCAUAAACUCCCCCUGCCUCAUCCAGGAGAUAAUAAAGUUUAAAAAAGGUUGUAAGUGUGGGUCUCUAAUCUGAUAGGGCUGGUGCCAAUGUAAGAAGAGAUAGAGGCCGGGCGCGGUGGCUCACGCCUGUAAUCCCAGUACUUUGGGAGGCCGAGGUGGGCAGAUCACGAAGUCAGGAGAUCGAGACCAUCCUGGCUAACACAGUGAAACCCCAUCUCUACUAAAAAUACAAAAAAAAUUAGCCGGGUGUGGUGGCGGGCGCCUGUAGUCCCAGCUACUCGGGAGACUGAGGCAGGAGAAUGGCGUGAACCCGGGAGGCGGAGCUUGCAGUGAGUCGAGAUCACGCCACUGCACUCCAGCCUGGGGACAGAGAUAGAGACACCAAAGAUCCCUCUCUCUCUCUCUCUCUACCCUGUGAAGACAGAGCAAGAAGGUGACCAUCUGGAAGGGAACCCUCACCCGAAACAGACUUCUUUUGGAGCCUUGAUCUUCAGCUUUCCAGCCUUCAGAAAAUACAUUUCUGUUGUGUAACCUUCACAGUGAUGGUUAUUUUUUUUUAUGGCUGCCUGAGAAGACUAAGGAGGUUGACCCAAAGAUACCAGAUCCUAAUAUAUGGGACCCAUAGAUGUUAUCUUAUUUGGAAAAAGAGUCUUUGCAGAUGUGAUUAAGAAUCAUGAGAUGGGGAGAUAACCCUGGAUUACCCAGGUGUGCCCUAAAUGCCAUCGCAAGUGUCUUUAUGAGAGAGUGAUAGAGGGAAUUUCACACACACACACACACACACACACACACACACACACGAGAAGGCAAUGUGAAGAUGGAGGCAGAGAUUUGUUAUCUGGUCACAAACUCUGGAACUGCAGCAGGUAGGGAAUAUAUGCUUACUUGAGACCUCUGGAGGGAGUGUGACCCUGCCAACACCUUCAGGUCAGCCUUUUCCUCCAGAACUAUGGGAGAAUAAAUUUAUUUCAGUUUAAGACACGAAGUGUGUGGGAAAUUGUUACAGCAGCCACGGGCGACAAAUACAGAAAGAAUUCGUAUCUUUUUCAUUGCAUGUAUUUCUCUGUGAUUCUUCUCACUCUUGCGAUGGUAAGAAAUUAAUGGUCUAGAUUAGGAUUGGCUAUUGAGGAAAGGGAUUGAGAGAAGCUGUGGACUUAUCUUCCUAUGGGGUUUUGGGUCUAAACUCUUGAAUAAAGAGUACAUUUGCUUAGAGAAUUCUGAUGCUGGUAAUCACUACUUGAGAACCUAAUAAAAUUUAGGGUAGGUGGAUUCAGGGCCCUGGGUAUCUUUAAUGUCUCCCAUAUCAAUAAGAUCUCCUGCAUAUAGAGAGUCAGUUAUUGAACAAUUCCAAAUUUUAGGAUCAUAGGUGACAAAUCAGAUAGAAUGUUCAGUCUUCAUUACGGUGAGUGGGGUUGGGGAAGUGAUGUUUGGGUGGAGAACCAAAUAAGAUGAGAAAGCAAACUUAGAGGAAGUGAGUUUCAGGCAGAGGAGACUGUAGCCACAAAGGCCCUGAGUCUGGAACUAUUUUGGCUUAUUUAAGGAAUAUCAAGAAGUCCAAAAUAGUUGCAGUUCAAUGAUGAUGUUAUAUUAUUUGGUGCAGGUAGGUUUAUGAUUAUAGUGUCUUCUUUGGAAAAUAUGUCUUUUACUAUUACAUUAUAUUCCUCCUUAUUCUUUUAUUUAAUUCUAAAUUCUAUCUUGUUUGAUGUUAACAUUGAUUUCCUGUGUUGUAUAUCUUUGCCCAUAUCUUUAUUUCCCAAUUUUUGCAAAAAAUUAGUUUGUUAAAAUUGUGUUUUUUGGUAAAUAACAGAAUAACAAAUAUCUAAGGUAAAUUAUGUUUCAUUUCUCCUAUUUGAGAGGUGUAAUAAUGUGAAUUUUAUUUAGAAAUAUUUUCAUCAAAAUUUCUAAUGUGGACAUGCCUUGGUGCUAAGCAGACACUUCCAUUAUCUGAACAUAACUUGCAUAUACAAAAUAACUCAUUUCCGAUGAGUUUCAGUAAUUGAGGUAUUAUUGCACAUGUCAUUCAACAUCUUGAAAUUUUAGUAUCUCUACAUGCAUGAGCUUUUAAAAAUAAAGUCAUGGCUCUAUUGGGCCACAAAGAAUACACUUAAAAUUUACAAUGUCAGCAAAAAUUACUAAUUUAUUUAUUUAUUUUUUUGAGAUGGAGUCUCGCUCUGUUGCCCAGGCUGGAGUGCAAAAAAUUACUAAUUUAUUUAACUAAUAACAAUGUUGUUUUUUAUUUAUGCCUAUAGUCACACCAUCAGUAUGGCAUAUGUUUGAAUUGUUCCAAUAGUGCAGAUGGAGUUACUGUGAUUUAGCAAGACUUUCUCAACUGCACUUAUGACCAAUAUGAUGCUCUUGGGAGGGGCCCAGAUGUGGUCUAGAUGGUCUGUGUCUGUAGGAAGGAAGUAUCAAGUUUCAGCCCAUAAGGGAAUUGAACCCCUGACCGUGGCCUUAUUAGCACCAUGUUCUAGCCAACUGUGCUUGCUAAUUGGUCACACAUGGCAAAAAUUUUGGAGAGAAGGAAAAGAUGUCAGAACACAGGAUCCUUGGUUUUAACAUGUUUGUUUCGGUCUGAUAAAAAAAAUCCUUAGAUUUGGGGUCAGAUCUAGCUUGGUUUGAGUAUCAGCUCCCUCUCCUUGGUUUUCUCUUUGAACAAUGAGGAUAAUGAGGCCAAUUUUGGAAGAUUUUUUUUUAAAUGUCGGCGUAAGUAAAAUAAUUUACGUGGGAAUACCUAGCAUAUAAUGCAGCACAAAGUAGUUAUUCAAUACAUAUUCUUUUAUAGUUUGGUUUAAAUCAUUUCGAGGUAAACUGAUGAUGCAGAAAAUCACAACACUUCUCCCUCACUUAGAUUAUACCCCCUCUCUUUCCACCUUCUGUCACCUUCAGUGAUACAACUAACAUGCUAAGGCACCAUUCAGUUGCAAAGUGGUUAUAUUUAUGCAAUAAAAAUAAAUGCAAGGCAGAGGAGAGCCACAUUACUCAAGAGUUUUUAGUCUGUUUCGUCCUGGCUUGAGCACACUGAGAUGAGGUGAAUUCAGCACUCCAACCCUCCCAGGCAGGGGAAGCCUCGAGAGAAGGCAGCAGAGGAUCCAAGAGAGCAAGUCUUCAAGACUGACCACUGGGUUUUAAGUCCUCACUCUGUAGCUGUGCAGCCUUGGGGCAAGCAUGUAACCUCUCAAACCCUUGGUUUUCUCAUCUGUAAAAUGGGGAUCGUUACCGUUACUACCCCAGAAGAUUUUGUGAGAUGAAGUGAGAUAAGACCGGUGAGUAAUUUAACCAGACAUAUGGGAAGUGUUCAAAAGUGCUCAGGGGAAGGUCAUGUGUCUCAUCUGCAUACCAUGCACUUUAUGACCAGGGCUGCCUUUUUUAACUUCUCUGAGUCUCUCUCUCUCUCUCUCUCUCUCUCUCUCUCUCUCUCUCUCUCUCUCUCUGUCUGUCUCUGUCUCUGUGUGUGUGUGUGUGUGUGUGUGUGUGUGUGUGUGUGUGUGUGUGUGUUUUAUAAGCCUGCCCCAACAAGCCUAUUUACUCAGAAUGUAAAACAAAUUUACUGUAGUAUAUCGACUAAAUACACAUCGGGUAUCAAUUUUAUUUGUUGCAGGAAUGAGUAUACUGUGUGAGUCUCUUAAAAGGUUGAUACUCUGGUUUCAGCCUAACCUCAGCCUUGAUCUGAAUCCAAGGUUUCUAAGCCUCUCUUUCUUAUCCCCUGGCUCUACCCUUUAAUUCCGCAUCAAAUCGUUCUCUUCGGCAGUCUUACCCCGAAUCAGCGGUGUUGACCUCACAUGGAAUCACAGAACCAUUCCCCUCAUUUCCUCUCCCUGUUUUUCGUAUUCAACCUCUGUUGACCCUUCCCAGGUGUUACUCAUGUGAUGUAUUCUGUAGGCUAAGUCAUUUCCCCGCGCUGAGUUUCCCAUUUAUUUCUUCCACUGCCAAAAUGUCUUUUUCCCUCUGUAUCCUUCACAACCCCUGUGUUGCACAUCUAUCACCUUUAUAUGUGUCCUGAGCCUUGCGAUUCUCCAUCUGCACUCCUGAUCACUUUCUCUUCCUCACUCUGAGCCCUUCAUUCUCCGUGUUGAGUAAACAUUCUUGGCCUCAAGGAGCUUUCAUCGGCAAUGCUAAUAUUUUAAAUAUUAUGAUUACUUUUCUCUCUGCCAUAAAAAUCUCCCAAAACAUCCAUAUGAUCAGUGUAGAACACUGAUUCUCAGUCAGGGAGGGGUGAUUUUGCCCACUAAGAGACAUUUAUAGUUGUCACAACUGGUGGGGGUCCUUCUGUCUUCUGGUGGGGAGAGACCAGGGAUGCUGCGGAACAAUACUCCAAAGCCCAGUACAGCCCCACAACAAAGGAAUAUUCAAAUGCCAAUAAUGCUAAGGUUGAAAAACUCUGGUAUAGAUUAGAAAGUGUAUUUAUCUUAAAAAGCUAAAAUAGAACUAAGACACAAUGCAAGCAUAAGGAUAGUUAAUAAUAAAACAAUAAUAACUCAAAUGUAUUUGGCAUUUGUCAUGUAGCAGGCACCGUGCCAACAGUUUUCCCUUCUUUGCCUUAUUUGAUCCUCAUGAUUACCCUAUAAGGUAGGAACUAUUAUGAUCCCCCUUGCAAAUGAUAAAACUGUGGCCCAAAUAAGUUAAAUUAUGUAACUAAGGUCACACAGCUGAUUAAGGACUAAGCUGAGAUCCAAUCCCAGGCAGCCAAAUGGGAAGGGCUUCUUUAUUUUGAACUGCUGUGAUGAGCACUGAUACAUCUAGAAACAGAUGUGCCAUAUACUGCAGAGCGAGGAUCCUCUAACUGAGGUCUCUUGGAUAGGAUUCCGGAGGUCUUUGAGCCCCCUGGAAAUAAAUGCAGUAUUUCCAUCAAUGUGCAUUUUUUUUUUUUUCUGGGAAGGGGGAUGUGGUUCAAACAGUCAAAUUAUCUCAGAAAGAUUUGCAACCAGAAAUACACUGGGAAUCCAUGAACAGCUUGCUCUUGACUUUCAGGAAAGGAGAAGUUUUGUGCCCUGGAUUAGGCUGCCUUUCUGCAAAGGUGGGCUCAAAAAUUCUGACCAGACUAUGGACCAUCCUUGAUUAAACUUGAUAAAUCAUUUGGCAACCUUGAAUUUCCAAGGACUGUUAAAGGGCACAAAGCAAAUUUAAUAAAAAUCUUAAGAAAUGGGGUGACCUUAGGUGAUCUAUUUAUAUAAGAUUAGGAAAUAUAAUGGCUUCAGGUACUAACGGUUUCACAGUAUUGACCUAUCCAUGUCACAGGACUCUUUGCCUGGGUGUUGCUGAUAUUUUCCUCUGUGAUUCUCACUGUCCCUGAAUUCGUGGCUCACCUAGUCCCCUACAAAUUUACGUAUUUGCUUAUCUGUGUUAAUACCUUCAAUCUGGUUACCUCCAGCUUUGAUGGUUUAGGAAUCACAUUGAUGCUUCUUUACAUAUCGUAAUUGAUUACAUCUAGCAUCUAGGACAUUUUUUUAACACCCAUCUUAUGUGUAUCAACUUUGGUAAACAUUCCCUUUGGUUGCAGUCAUUUGUUGACUCUAUUUUCCUUAUUGAUAAUCUUUUCAGCUGCAAAUGAUGAUAUAUCUAUUUCCUUUCAAAUCCUUAGCCCUCUAAUUAGCUUUUCUUUUUUUGAUGUAUUGGCUGGGACCUUCAGAACAGUGUUGUAAAGUAACAGUGAUGUGCAUGCUUGUUUUAUUGUUAGCUUUGACAGCAAAUCUUCUAAAUUUUCACAAUUGCUACAAACUGAAUAUUUAUGUCUCUCCAAAGUUCCUAUGUUGAAAUCCUAACCCCCAAGGUGAUGGUAUUAGGAGGUGGAGACUUGGUAGGUGAUUAGGUCAUGAGAGCAGAGCUUUCCUGAAUGAGAACAGUGCCUUUAAAAAAGAGAUCCAGGCUGGGCAUGGUGGCUCAUGCCUGUAAUCCCAGUACUUUGGGAGGCUGAGGUGGGCAGAUCACUUGAGCCCAGCAGUUUGAGACCAGCCUGGCUAACAGGGUGAAGCCCCAUUUCUACCAAAAAAAAAAAAAAAAAUUAGCCACUUGUGGUGGUGUGUGCCUGUGGUCGCAGCUACUAGAGAGGCUGAGGUGGGAGAAUUGCUUGAACCCGGGAGGUGGAGGCUGCAGUGAGCUGAAGUUGCACCACUGCACUUCAGCUUGGGGUAACAGAGGAGACUCCAUCUAAAAAGAAAAAAAAAAUCCAGAGCUUCCUUUCCCGUUUCACCAUGUGAGGACAUGUGAGAAGAUGAUCAUCUCCAAAAGAGAUGCAAGUCCUCACCAGGCACCAAAUCUGUCUGAACCUUGAUCUGGGACUUCCCAGCCUCCAGAACUGUGAGAAAUAAACAUUUGUAGUUUAUCAGUCACCCAAUCUAUGAUAGUUCGUUGUAGCAGCCUGAACACACUAAGAUCACCACUUAAAAUGAUGUUUGUUAUUGGGGCUUUUCCUACUAAAAUUUCUUCUUUCCAGUGCUAUGUUGCUAAUUCCCCAUUAUUGUAAAAAAUCAUUUAAAAUUAUUAAAUUUUAUCCAUUUUGCAUCUACCAAGGACAUCAGAUGACUUUUAACUUUUUAUUUCUAAGUUGACUUUGCAUUUUUCUGCUUUUAUACAUGAUGCUGUGGUUUCCCAGAGAACAAUCAUAUUUAAGGGACUUUGAAGUAGGAGGCAUUCACUGUCACCACCCAUGGGCGUCCUACAGCUACAUUCAAUAUGUUCUUGGAAAUACAUGGGCUACAAUGUAAUGACUACUCAAAAUAUUGCUAACAUGACCUACUUAGACAUAAGGUAGGGAAGAAAGAAUAUUUAGCAUUUUCCAUAAAUAUAUAUGUCUCCAGAUGUACCUAUUCACAGGGAGUCAGAACAAAACAGCAUUAUGAAAUGUUCCAUGAGGUCUCCAGGGCCAUACAUCAACUGAACUCAGCCAGCAGCAUGUCUUCUUCAGAAGUGUAUCUUUAGUCUUUGAGACUGCCCAUGACCAAUAAAAGAAACGAGGAAAUUUUAUGAUGAAGUUUAUUUUUCCAAUAUUUUUCCAAUAUUGAAAUACCAGAGGUCCUUGCUUCCAGUAGGCACAAAUUUCAGUUACUGUGUUUUAAUUAAAUAACUCCAGUUCCCCAACAAUGUGGGUCAAUUUUUAGUUACCUUGAUAUAUUACCUGUAAUUGCAUGAAGCACAAAUUUCCCUGCUAGCUCUUCAGUUCAUAAAUCACUAAGUAAAUAACACAUGCACAUCAUGAUCUGUGACUGAUCAUGUCACUUCUUCGAAGGCAAUGACUGGUCAGUACGCAUCUGUACUCAGUUCAUACACAGACAGCAAAGCAUGAAGUUGUGUCGUCUCCUUGUCUCCCAGUGAUUAAACCAUGUGACAUUUUAUAAAAGUGAGUAAUACUGGUCGGGCGCAUGGCUUAUGCCUGUAAUCCCAGCACUUUGGGAGGCUGAGGUGGGCGGAUCACAAGGUCAAGAGAUUGAGACCAUCCUGGCCAACAUGGUGAAACCCCGUCUCUACUAAAAAUACAAAAAUUAGCUGGGCAUGGUGGUGGCACAUGCCUGUAGUCCCAGCUACUCAGGAGGCUGAGGCAGGAGAAUUGCUUGAACUCGGGAGGUGGAGGUUGCAGUGAGCGGAGAUUGAGCCACUGCACUCCAGCCUGGCAACAGAGUAAGACUCUGUCUCAAAAACAAAACAAAACAAAACAAAAAAACAAAAAACAAAAAAAUUUAAAAAAAGUUAGUAAUCCUAAGAUAGGAUUAGCAACAAAGAUAAAAGUGCAUUAAAGAAACAAAAAGUGGUAGUGCUGGAAGUGAAACUUGCAUUGAACCUAAAUGGAGUUAUUGAAGAAAUAGCUGAUCGUAGGAAUAUUGAUGCUGCUGUGGUUGGAGGCUCUACCAUGCAGCUGGAGGAACUUCAAGGAAGCGAGCUUAUCAAAAUAAGUAAGGAAAGUGGUUGUGACGAAAAGGAUGAAGAUGUCCCAGAGGAAAGGAUGCUGGCAAAAACUGCACAUUAAAGGGAUUCUCAGAGAUAACUGACAACAUUGAAAGAUUUACACUCAAGGUUUGGAAACUGAUUUAAAGUUAGAAUUAAGUAUAACGAUUCACGAAGGUGUGGAGAAGAUGCUUGCUUUGUCUCAUAAGUUCUACAAUGUUCGAACAACUCUUGAUAAGUUUUUAAUAAAGAAAAAAACUUCAAUUUUCAAUGUUUCUAAUUUUUAAAAUUGUAGUGUACUAAAGUAUUAGUUUUACUAUUUUUAUAUUUCCCUACUUAUAAGUGAGAAUAAGUGACUUUUUAAUGUUUUGACAACCAUUUUUAAAGGUCACAGAACAACUGCAAUUUUUACCACUGAUUAUUAAUAAUCAGAUGUUUUUGCACAGUUGUAGCCUGCACAGUCGUUUUUAUGGUCCCACACUACUCUGCAAAGUGAGGACAGUGAUAUAAUUUUCUCAUUGAAGAACACUUGGAAAAUAGAGCAAGAGAAAAAAAUUACAUAUAACCCCAUCCCAAAAGCACUUGUGAGUAUAAAAAUGUAUAUCUUUCCAAUAGUCAUUUUGAUUGGUAUAAUUUUACAUCUGUUGGUUUUACAUACUUGUGAUCAUGCUGCUUAAAGAAUUUUGUUCCCUUUUUAAAAACAGACUUUACUUUUUAGAGGAGUUUUAAGUUCACAGCAAAAUUGAGUGGUAAGUACAGAGAGCUCCCAUUAUACCUCAUAUCCCCACAUAAGCACAGACUCCCCUACCAGCAACAUCAUGCACCAGAGUGAUACAUUUGUUACAGUCAAUGAACCUACAUUGGCACAUCAUCACCCAAAGUCCAUAGUUUACUUUAGGGUUUACUCUUAGUGACGUACAUUCUAUGGGCUUCUAACAAAUGUAUCAUAACGUGUAUCCACCAUUAUCAUGUCACAUAGAAUCAUACUGCCCUAAUAAUCCUCUGUGUCUUUGAAUUUAUUAAUCUCUGUCUCACUGAGUAACCACUGGUAACCACUGAUCUUUUUACUAUCUUCAUAGUUUUGCUAUUUUCUUUUAUAUAUUUUUUGAUGUUAAUAUAUAGGUUUUAUUAAUUCAUCUGCGUAAUAAUCCAUUGAGUGGAUACAUAAUAGCUUAUUUAACUUUUUAAGUGAAUUAAACUGAGUUGUUACAGGUUUUCACUUGUUUACGGUUUUUCCUUUGCUAUUUUGCAUUCUUUUCAUAGGGUCAAUUUCAGAAGUACAGCCAUUAGGUCCAAAGUCUCAGCCAAUGUAUCGAAUAAAUCUAGCCUGCAGACAAAUUUGGCCUGGCCAGCAUAUUUGUUUAUAUAUACAUAUAUAUAUUAAUGGAGCCCAUAGUUAGCACAGUUUACAUACAAAUCUGAAUUUCCUAUUUUCCUUGAAAAAAAACCAGGAGAUCUGUUGACACCAGGUGUUUCCAUAUGUCAGCAAGAAGCUGGACCUGUGUAGCUACCACCCCUUUAGAGAGACAGCAAUCACAUCCUCUGUGAGCAGUAGAGUUUGAUUUUCACUAAAUGUGAUUAGCAAAUGGUUUUUAAAGACAAAAGAACCAUAGUUUAUUUGCUGUGUUAUAUUUUGAUUUAUAGUCCACAUUUUUUUUCAAAGGAAUUUAAGAUGUCUCAACAAACUGGUAUAUGGAUGUGUGGGAAAUACUUCCGUAAUAAUGAACUGUGCUGAGUUCGUGGAGCAUUAAAAAGUGCUUCGGUUCAAGCUAUUCUAUUCCACCUUUUCAAAAGGUGGGUUCUUCCCUGAACCAUUGCAUAGUGAGAAGUUUAGUAUCUACAAAAGGUGUGGUGUUUCGUGGUUUUGCAUCUUGUUUGAUCUUCACACUGGACAGUAGCAACUAUAAAUUUUAAAAAGUUUUCUUUCUAAAAUUACUCUGGAAGCUUACAUGCAGAUGACCAUUGCUCUGCUCCACCACCUUUGCUGGCCCCCUACAGCCUCUGCAAUGCUCUCUCCAUUCAUUAGCCAUUCAUUAGCUCCUCCCACCCUGACUUCACCCAUUUAAUUGUUCCCCUCUCUAAAGGUCCAUUUAAAAUGUGAUCUUCUCUCUCAUACUGCAGAAAUACUACUUUUUCCCUUAUAAAUGCCCAUCGCCUUAAUUUCUGCCUCCGGUAUGGCCGUUGCUACUUUUUCAUUUUAUAUUUUAGGUGGUUGGGUGGAUGACUUACCUCUUCUACAAGACCUUUGAGGUUUUCUUUUUUUUUUUUUUUUCAUGAAAGUUUAUGUCUACAAGACGCUGUUGAGAGCAACUUGAUUCCUCAUUCAUUUUUGUUUCCCACAAAGUUUAUGCCUGAAAUGUGUGUAUAAACAACAUUUGAAAGAAGAAAUGGAAAUCUCCCAUCACUACAUCUCAGUAUGAAGAGAUGGAGGGAAGUUAAGUCCUAAAUGACCAGAUUUGGAUGUUACAUGACAGGUGGCUUCUGCACAGUAAACUGAGGCAGAACUGUAAGUGAUGAGUAGGUAUUCAAGAAUGAAAGAGAUCAUGACCAAGGACAGCCACAUCCGACCAUUCGUUGUGUUUUGUUGAUAUGCCCUGACAAUAGAUGACAUAACCAAAGAAAGAAACUGCUGGGGGAUACAGGCCUAUACCUCUGGAUAUAUUUUUCUAUUGUGAUUUUAGCUUCAGAGCAACUUCCCUCUGACAUAACGAAGACUCUUGAGUAUUGAAGAUGAAUAUUUAUUGGGGAAAAAUGCAAUGGGAAAUAAAGAAAUCAGAAGAUUGGAGAUGCUUGACAAACUACUGGAAAUUUUAUUCCCAAGUAAUUUAUUUCUUAUUUGUAUCAAUUUGAUAAAUAUUAUGUAAGUUACGAUUAUGUUGAAUUGCAAAUAACAAGAGCAGGUGUUUAUUUUUUUUUACAUAAUAACAAGUCCAGAGGUGUGUUUAGAUGACUGUGCAAUGGCUAGGCCACUGGUUCUGAUGUUCUUGGCUUCUUCCUUAUGGUCACAAGAUGGCUGCUUCAGUACCAGUUCUUAUAUCUGCAUUUAAGAGAUUAAAAAAGAAAAAGAAGAAGAAAAAGAAAAAGAGGCACAGGUACUUCUGCAACUGCAUCUGUCCUCUUUUAUCAGGAAAGCAAAUGUGUUCCUAGGAAGCCACUGGUGGACUUGGUUUGUUUCAUGGCUAUGUUGUCUCGCAUGGCUAUGUAUCGCCAAAAGGGAACCUUUGAAAGGAAAUAUUUCAUUGAAUGUUUUUAUACUCUGAAAAUAAAGUCAUGUUUAUUAUAUAUGAGAUAAAAGAGAAUGGUUAUUAAACAGGUAAUAGACAGAAUUGGUCACUGCCAUUUAAUUCCAAUGUCAGGGGUCCCUAAAUUCAGCAUUCUGGGAUUACCUUUUCUUUUAAAGCUCAACUGUAAUAGUAUUCUCUGGGCCCUCAUUCAAUCUAAGGGUUCUUUUUCUCCCUCCAUGUUGAGAAUCUGAAAACUUCCUUCUUUUCCUUCCUUCCUUCCUCAUCUUCCUUCCUUCCUUCCUCCCUCCCUUCCUUCCAUCUUUCUUUCUUCCAUCUUUCCUUCCUCUCCUUCCUUCCUUCUUCCUUCCACCCUUCCUUCCUCUCCUUCCUUCCUUCUUCCUUCCACCCUUCCUUCCUCUCUUUCCUUCCUUCCUCUCCUUCCUUCCUUGUCUUCCUUCCUUCCUUCCAUCUUUCUUCCUUCCAUCCUUCCUUCCUCUCCUUCCUUCUUUCCUUCCUUCCUCCCUUCCUUCCUUCCUCAUCCUCCUCCAUCCUUCCCUCCUUCCCUCCCUCCCUUCCUUCUUUCCUUCCUUCCAUCUUCCUUCCUUCCUUGCCCUCCUUCUUUCCUUCCUUCCUCCCUUCCUUCCUUCCUUUCCCUCCUUCUUUCCUUCCUUCCUCCCUUCCUUCCUUCCUUCCUCGUCCUCCUUCUUUCCUUUCCUACCUCCCUCCUUCCUUCUUUCCUUCCUUCCUUCCUUCUUUCCUUCUUCCCUCCCUCCCUCCCUUUAUUCCUCUAUUUCUCUUCCCUUCUCUCUCUUUCCUUCUUUCUCUCUUCUUUUUCUUUCCCUCUUACUUUUUUCUUUGCUUCUCUUCUCUUUUCUUUCUUUUUUGAGACAGUGUCUCACUCUGUCUCCCAGGCUGCAGUGCAGUGGUGGGAUCGCUGCUCAUUGCAGCCUCAACCUCCCAGGCUCAAGGGCUCCACCUGACUCAGCUUCCUGGGUAGCUGGGACUACAGGUGCACAACACUACACCUGGCUAAUUUUUCUUUUUUUUUUUGUAGAGGUGGGGGUCCCCCUAUGUUGCCCAGGCUGCUCUUGAAUUCCUGGGCUCAAGCAGCCCUCCUGUCUCAGCCUCCCAAAAUGCUGAGAUUACAGAAAUGAGCCAUGGUGCCCAUCUCCUUCUUUCUUAUACAGACCCAUUAAACUAUCUUUGCAACAUCAGUCUCUGAACUCACCUUUGUCAUCCAAAUAAGCCAUCAAGGUUUCCUAAGUAAAGAGCUAUCCACAUGGAUAUGGAUUAGGCAACUACCCCUAGAAUAGAAAAAUGACUGCAGUCAGUUGCUUGAAAUACUCUUUUUCCUUUCUCCUCCCCACAAAUGAAAAUAAACACUUAUUAUUUUCAAGUUCUGAAAAAUAGUGUUUUAGGUCUGAAAUGUUCAGAAAUCUCAACAUCAGACACUCGGAAGAAAAUAUGGAGUCAGUGGGACAUGAGUCUGUUCUGUUUAAAUCUACAUUCAAGUAUGUUAAGGUCAGUUUUAUCAUGCAACCAUCAUUUCUGUAGUUUUAACUUACUGUCUCUGAAUAUGUUGUCUUUGUGAUGCAUGAAACAGUGUCAAAAUCAGGAACGCGACUUAAUGUAUUAUUCUCAACACUUAUGAUGAUAAAAUAUCAUUGGUCUGUUGUGAGUAAUGCUCAUAAAUGUCGUCCGCUUAACCAUAUUCAAACCACAUGCAAACUUUCUAACCAUAUGCAAAUUCCCAUUUGUGAUGGUCACCUUCACUCAUAGUUUAGAAAAUGUUGUGGUUGAUUAUCCCCCAGCUCUAGUGGUGGGCUGAGAUUCGGUUAAACCAACCAGCAUAUGUCAUUAUCCAUGGUAGUAAGCAGCUUUGGAAAUAGCUCCCAUGGGGUCCCCACCUCCUGGUAUUCAUGCUGUUGUGUAAUCCCUGCUUUUUGAGUGUGGAUGGACUUAUCACUUGCUAAUUGAUAUGGUUUUGCUGUGUCCCCACCCAAUUCUCAUCUUGAAUUCCCACAUAUUGUGGGAGGGACCUGGUGGGAGGUAAUUGAAUCAUGGGGCAAGUCUUUCCCAUGUUAUUCUCAUGAUAGUGAAUAAGUCUCAUGAGAUCUGAUGAUUUUUAAAAGAGAAAUUCCCCUGCCCAAGCUCUCUCUCUUUGCCUGCUGCCAUCCAUGGAAGACGUGGAUUGCUCUUCCUUGCCUUCUGCCUUGAUUUUGAGGCUUCCCCAGCCACAUGGAACUGUAAGUCCAAUUAAACCUCUUUCUUUUGUAAAUUGCUUGGUCUCAGGUAUGUCUUUAUCAGCAGCAUGAAAAUGGAAUAAUACACUAAUAAUGACUAAAAUAUGGCAGAAAUGAUGGGAUAUCCCUUCCAGGAUUAGGUUAUUAGAGACUGUGACUUUCAUCUCUCUUGUUUGCUUGCUCUCAUGAAGCCAGCUGCCUUGUUGUGAACUGCCCUACAGAGAGGCCACAUGGCAAAAAGCUGAGCAUGGUCUCUGCCGAACAGCCAUUGAGGACCUGAGGCUCUCAGUCCAACAGCCCACAGUGAAUUGAAUCCUGCCAGUAACCACUGAGUGGGUUUGGGAGAGGAUCCUGGUGAACCUUGAAAUGACUGGAGUCCUGGUUGACACCACAAUUGGAGCUUACAAAAGACUCUGAGCUGGAGGACCUAGUGAAGCCAUAUUUGGAUCUCUGGCCCAUAGAAACUGUGAGGUAAUAAGUGCAUGUUAUUUUAAGCUGCUAAGUUUGGCAGAAGAAGGAGGGGAGUGUAAUUUGUUACAUAGCAAUAGAUAACUGAUACACUCCUAGUUACAAAAGUUUGUCCAGGUAUGUGCAUGUGAGCAAUUGAGCCAAUGGUAAGUAGGCUGAUCCUCGACUUUUCAACUGGUAGAAGGAGAGGGGAGGGAAGGAAAAAAGAAAGCAAGAGAGGAGGUGGCGGGCGUGGAGAGAGAGAGAGAGAGAGAGACUAUUUUCUGCCAUCUAUGAAGCAAAGAAGUUGUUCUAUAGCUGUUGUCAUCUUGCGACUUUGUGGAGGUAACCUGUCUUAAAAGAAAGCUAACACAAAUCAGAAAGCAUAGCUGAGAGAGAGGGAGAUACCAGGUUCUAGGGCAUCAUUUAAAUACCUUCAUCACACUGUGUCUGAAGCCAGUGGAUGUGAAUCACUGGAUUCCCUUUUUUUCUUAAGCCAGUUUCCAUUUUUUUUUGUAACCCAGACUUUGACCUGAUACAAACUGUAAUUAGCUGAUGAUCAAAACUUCAGCUGUCCAAAGAAGGACUUGUCACCCUAAAACAGAUGUUCCAAAUUUUGUCUCAACUGACACAAUUUGGAGCAUCUGUUUACAGCUUUACAGGAAGGGGGAGAAGGUAUUUUUAAGUGUGUGAGCACAAGUUAAAAAAGUAAUUGGAAACUAAGUAAGUACAAAAACAUCUUCAAUCAAAGAAACAUUUUGUAAGCUGAAAUAUUGUUCAUUUUUAUGAUGGUAUGUGUAUAUCUUCAUAUAUAAAACUUCACUGUCAUUAGAAAAUGUCACACAAAAUAACAAAUACACCUUUUUCAAUCUGGUUAUAAAUAUGCAGAAUGGAGUUUAUUUACCAAAGUGUUACACAUUUCCAACUGAUAAUAUAUCAAUAAAAGCUCUCACUCCAAGAUGUCAUUAAAGCCACAUUUGUUCAUUUCUAUUUAUUAUGAGAAAAAAAAAACAAAAUGAAAAAAGUGGAUUUGAGUCAUAUUUCCUGUGAGUUCAUCAUUUGCUGGCAUAUAACACUUGUGAAUUUUAUUCAAUUCAUUUAAAAUGAUUUCUUACAUGCAGCCAGAAAGUUGAGGGUGGCAAGGAAUUCAAAAUGAUCAGCAGGCAUCCAAGAUUUCUCAGGAGACAGAUUUAGAAUCACAACUGAGGUAUGUUUUCCUUAAGGAAUGUAUCGUAGAAAAACUAGUUCUAAUGAACCAGAAUUUGUUCCUAAUAAAUUCGGCUCAUUUGUGUUUUGAAAUUAGUAGACUCAAAUGACCUUCUUAAAAUGAGGUUUCUUCCUUUCUUCCCUUCCCUUCCCUUCCCUUCCCUCCCCUCCCCUCCCCUCCCCUUCCCUCCCCUCCCCUUCCCUCCCCUCCCCUCCCCUCCCCUUCUCUUCCCUUUCCAAUAUAGACCAAGAUCUAUGGUACCCAUUUCAAAUGCCCUCAGAACUCAUUCUUUUUUCGUGUUUAUUUCAUAAAAGUGGGCAUUCUAUCUAUACCAACCUUUGCACCUAACAUGUAACCUGUUUUGGCCAGUGGGAUGUUAGCCAGCAUCACACAAGGAGAGGUCCUUUUGCUCCUCUGUCUCUGUCAAAAAAACAAAACAAAACAAAACCAGGCUAUCCUGAUGGAGAAUUACACAUCUGGCUCAGGUGUAGCAGCCAACAGCCAGUGAGGCAUAGAGUGAACCUAGCAUCACAAGAAGAACUACCUAGCCCAGCCCAGCCCAAAUCUCUGACCUGCAGAUCUGUGAUUUAAAUACAUGCUCGUUGUUUUUAGCCACUGUAUGUGUGUGCGUGGUGUUCAGGCAAGUGUUUUUCAACAUUAUCAUGGUAAUAGGUAACUGGUACACACCUAACACCUGAAUAACCGAUUAUAUGGUUGAAAUAUCUGGAAUGAUUCUGAUUUCCUAUACUGCGUCCUGACUGAUACAGAAGUUUAUAGACAUUUUCUCAUUUAAUUGUCACAACUACCUAACAUGGCAGGUAUUGUUGCUGUCCCAUUUUACAGAUCAGGAUGCUAACUAAAUCAUUCAAGUCCAUACAACUCCGAAAUGGCAGAGUGGAAAGCAAACCAGGAUGCUGAAUUUGAAAGCCCACAUUCUUAACCAUCAGACCACACUGACUGACUCAGUUUUCACACUGAGAGUGAAAAAUAUUAGCAAGUUUCCUCUGGAAAGAUCUAGAAGAUAGGUUUACAAGGUCUAAAUUGAAUGGGAGCUAUAAAGGAAGUACAGGUUUCAUGCAGAGAAUCUGAAGCUCUAUGUCCACUUGCAUAUUUUAGAGCUGAAUUCUUGGAGGGUUGUGCAGCCUCUUCAUCUAAUACAAUUGGAUUUGGCCCUAUCUUCAGAUUUAGUCAUUUCUUCCAUGACAGCAUAUUAAAUGACAAUCUCAAAUAAAGACCACUCAUCUGAACAAAGGGAACACGCCCCACUCAGGCCCUUCUUUGAUUUAUAACCAAUUCUCUUUUAACAUGUGGACCCAACAAACGAGAGAUAGCUUACUAGCUCGAACAAUGAACUUGUUAGUUAACAGAAUUAACAGUGUGUUGUUUCAUUGUGAUGACAGUAAUAAAACAGGAGACGUGAAGCAGAUAUAGUCACAACUAAAUCGUAAUGGAUGAGAUAUUUACAGCAAAGCUGUUAAAACAUUGAAUAAAAUAUGGGAAGAGCAAAAGCAGAUGUGUUUUUAUUCUUCUGAGUUGAAGCUUGCAAGGUAAAAAGAUAGUUUGAGUAAUAAUCGCAGGUUCUGAUUCACAAUGAAUUAAUAAAUAUUCAUAUGGUACCAGCCGCUGAAACUUUCCAGAUACAGAAAUAAAGUGAGAAAGCCUGUUCUUGCCUUACACUUUACUAAGUUUAGAUUUCCAGACACACAUGUCAAUAUCUCCAUUAGGUUCCUGUAAAAGUUCUCUUUUAUUUUCCACUGCGUUCCAAGUCUUGAUGGUGAAACAUUCAUCUUUCCUGUUUUGUUCCAAAUGUCACAGUAUUUCCCCCACUCAAACCACAAGAAAGUAGAAAGAAGUGAUGGUCUAUUAAUAAAGAAGAGACCUAUAAUUUAAGUAGAAGAUAGAGGUGGAAGGAAAUGAGCAUUUCUCUUUGAAUUAGGCACAGGCAAAUGAGCUAUAUAUCCCAUUGGAUGUCCACAUCCCCAAAUGAAUUAGAACGGUGGGAUGCCUGAUUUUGCAACAGCAAGCAAAACACAUUUAUGCGUUUUUCUUUUGUGAUUAUCAUUGUCUUUGUUUUAAAGGAGCCGGGAGUUUUUUGAGAGCACAAGGGAAUGCUACCACAUUACUCAGGGUUGAAACAACUUGGGAAGCAUAAUUUGGGGGGUGUGAAAGCAUCAGGAUGCUUGGUCCAGGUUUGUUUUCCUGCAUUUCAGAAAAACAGCUGCUGGAAAAAGAAGGGAGAGGCUUGGCGCAGAACUGGUUUGGAUUUUUUUGGGAGGGAGAAAGGAAGAAAGUGAGACAAGAGUGUCUUGCAGGGGCUCAGAUCUCCCUGGCUGGGGGCCACAGCCCUCCCCUCUUGAGUACCUGGUUUGGGUAUUGGAGGCUUCCUGAUGGAUGUCCAUGAGCUCUGCAGUCGGUAGCACAACAGGGCUCCUUGAGGUUGCUAUGACAUCCUUUGUUCCCCAUUUCCCUGCUUUUAUUGGCAUAUGUACCUUGGCUUGUAUGUAGAACCCGAGGGCUUUGUGUUGCAUUUUCAUUUUCCCCUCUGUUUUAUUAAUCACUGCGUCCUUUUCUCUCCCUGCACAUCCCCAAGUCUUCUCCCUAGACUUGCACAGGAAUCUUUCAUUUGGGUUCCAUUCUUUGUUUUCCCUCAGAUGAUCUCUGUUGGCUGUAAAUGAGUUUUUGUUGUUUCUCACCCUCUCUCCCCUCCUUGGCCUUCGUAUUAUUUUUUCCUUUUAAUUAAUUCCAUCCCCACAGACUUACAUUUGCGUUUUUUCAUUUUCCUAUUCUUCUCUGUCUUCUUUGAAAAUCUCAGGGUAAUGUUCUGGGCACUUGUCUGUGGCUCGGAGUUCUAGGAAGGGAGAGGCCGGGGAGGGGGGCUUCCAAGCAAGUAGGGCACAAGACCAGCAGGAAGAAGCAGCCCCAAGCCAGGACUCACCAAGGAAGCCUCUUACCAAGUGCCUUCUGGUCAAAAGAAGGUUAUUUCCAGGGCCAGGCGUGGGGGCUCACGCCUGUAAUCCCCACACUUUGGAAGGCCGAGGCGGGUGGAUCACGAGGUCAGGAGAUUGAGACCAUUGUGGCUAACACGGUGAAACCCCAUCUCUACUAAAAAUACAAAAAAAUUAGCCGGGUGUGGUGGCAGGAGCCUGUAGUCCUAGCUACUUGGGAGGCUGAGGCAGGAGAAUGGCGUGAACCCAGGAGGCGGAGCUUGCAGUGAGCUGAGAUCACGCCACUGCACUCCAGCCUGGGCGACAGAGUGAGACUCCGUCUCAAGAAAAAAAAAAAAAAGAGGGUUAUUUCCAUAAGAACCUUCCUUGCACAGAAAUCUGAGAGCAAGCAGGCCUCUCAAGGGUCAAGAGUCUUACCACUUCCAUUUUGGGGGAUUCCCGAUGUGUUAGACAAUGAAGACGGACUAAAAAAAAAGAUUUUUAAAAAUUGUGGUGUAUUUAACAAAUUAACACUCCUUACACAAAUCUAAGGCUAUUUCAUUGUGGCAUGUGCAAGCAAAUUAGCAGAUUUAGAAACAACGCUUAAUCUGAAUGCACUGCUGAUAGUCUUGCAAACAAGUUUCACUAACAAAGUCCAACCACACCAGGUAUUUUAGAAAGCAUGUGAUGUUCAAAAGCUAGUAUUAUUUGGUUUAUCGGCUCAACCACGAAGGAGUUAGUUUCCUAUUAUGCUCUGAUUCUCUUGUCGCCCUGUGCACAAUUGACCAGGCAUUUUUUUUCCUGAGUGGGGGGAUUGGGGGCGGUCUGAGUUUUAGAUGGUUCACGUUUUUUCCUAGUAACUUUAGCAGAGGAAUUAAUUAUUACUGUGCAAUCGCCUUUUUUGGAAGGAUAUUUGGAAUGUGCUUCUUGUCUCUUUUCCCUUCAGACUUUUUUUCUUCUUCUUCUUUGAAUUGGACAGCCUAAAUGUUAGCUUUACUGGAGCUGAACAUACUGUAACACUUAACCAAGGUGAAAAAUGACUGCUUGCCAAUGACUUUUACAUCUAUAUUAAGACUAUGCUGGUUAUAUAGCACAGUUAGAUAUAACAUGUUCAAAUACAGAGAGUGUGAUAGAUCCAGGCAUCGAUGAUAUGCUUUCUUUAAAAACAAAAGGAUUGCAAGAAGUGAGCCAGGUAUGGCUACUUAGGAAUUUGUGCAAAUAAGAAAAACACAGUUAUUAACUUUUUUAGGCAUUGGUCUGUAUCUAACUUUACUCUUUUUUGGAUUUAUUUAUUCAUUGGCUAAUAAAGAUUUUCAGCCAUAGAUGGGAGUUUGUUUUUUUCCUAGGUAAUUGGUAAAUGAAUAGAACCAGACUUUAAUCAGUAAACAAGGUAUCUGAUAAAUUGAUUAAAUAAAUGAUUCAAUAUUGUUGGAAGAAUGAGACUACAACUAUCCCAGUUUAAAUCUUCAGUGCUCUUAGAACCUCAUUCUUAAGAUGAGGCUCUUUCUUUAUGAAUGGAAUUGAUUUACAGAAAACGAAGCAUUUGGCUGAGUUUGUGACUUACUUGAGAUUGCACAGCAAGUCUGAAUUAAAUCUGUGUAACAGGUUCUAAUCCCAUGGUCCAGCAAUUAGACCAUUCUCUCUAAGCUUCUUGGAAAAUUAAUUUCUCAUUACAAAUAAAUAUAUUCUGCACCAUGGUCUGAACAUACCAAUGCUAAGCACAUUUUCUGACAGACAUUUCAAAGAUAUAGAUGAGCUCUUGCAUCUUUUCAAAAGCAAUGCAAGGGACAUUCACACAGCAGGUGCUGGAAGGGUCCCUCUGGCAGACAGAGGAGAUGCAGAAGUUCUGCUCAAUCAGGUUUUCCUGACCAAGCCUGUCUGUGUAGCUGCGGUAAACAUGCACAGGUCUAGCGUUCAAAAAUGGGCCCCUGGCUCUCACAAUGAACCUGACAACCUGACCAAUCAAAUUCAAGUCUACCACGUUGCCAGGGUAACUAAUACACAGUCACAAAAACAGAACGAUCACAGUGAGGGAAAAAUACAAAAUGCAGCAUUUUCAUGCUUAGAGAAAGAAAGAGAAAACACAGGCUGACCGUACAUAGCAGGAACUGAUACUUGCUUCUUCCUUAACUAUGAGCCAUUCAUUUACAGCCAUGUGCAAAUGCCUAUGUGCAGAUGUAUGCACCUAUCCUCUUUCACAGAAAAUAUGUGCCUCACUUCUGGAACAUUAUUAGUGAAUUUAGAAUGGGAGAAAGAUGGCAGAUUAUGGUUUGAGGUGGAAAGAUCUGGAGGCACACACACAAAAAAUGAGCAUCCACCCUUCUUCCUUGAGCAACUCCCGGGUUGAAAGGUGCUUCCAGACUCAACUCAGUCAAUGGUCCUUUCUUCCAGUAUUUAAAGGAUGCUACUGCCAGGGUAAUAAAAGCCACCCCAUGCCCUUAGCAAUGACUAUCUCCAGGCUAAACUGUCCCUCUGUUUUGCUAUGUGCCCCCAUAGUAUAGGUGCCGAAGUGAUUCUGAAAAACGUAGAUCAUGUCCUGCCCCCGCUGACAGCUCCUCCCCUGACUUCCCUUGCAGGCUGAGCAGCAGGUGGUGUUUACACCAUGGCCCACCAGGUCCUGCUGAGUCUGCCUCUUCCUAACUCUCUGCCCUUAUUUCUUGACUCUCUCCCCCACAGUCCACUGUCAACAAUCUUCCUUUCUGUCCCUUGAACAUGCCAAGCUUAUUUCCACUUGCAUUAGUUUCCUGGAGUUGCCAUAACAAAGACCCACAAACCAGGUGGUGAAAAACAACAGAAAUGUAUUCUCUCAUAGUUCUGGAGGCUUGGAGUCUGAAGUCAAGGUGUCUGCAUGGCCGUAUCCCCUCUGAAGGCUCUAGGGGAGUCUAUUCCAUUUCCUUCUCUGAGUUCCUGACGUUGGCAAUUCCUGGCAUUCCUUGGCUUGUGGGUGCUUUGUCCCCAUCUCUGCCUCCCUGUGUGUUUCUACAUCCCUUCUCCUCUUCUUAUGAAGACAUCAGUCACUGGAUUAGGGCCCACCUAAAUUGAGUAGAACUCGACUAUAUUUGCCAAGGCUCUAUUUCCAAAUAGGGCCAUAUUUGCAGGUACUAGCAGUUAUCACUUCAACAUAUCUUUUCGGGGACACAAUUCAAUCCAUAAUGCCACCUCAGGACUUCCACCUUGAAUUCUCUUCUACUAGCCCUUUUCAUGGCUGGCUCCUUUUAUCUUUUGGGAGUGAGCUCAAAAGCCAUCUUGUCCGGAAGCUUCCCAGAUCACACAUUUUUGACUUCCCACCCCUCAACUUCUUGUCAUCAAUGCCCUUUGUUUCUUUCUUAGACCUUAUCCCACUGGAUAUACAACUCCCCUCCCUCUCUCAAGGAGAAUAUGAACUCCCAGGAGUAACUUCUUUGCAUGUCUUAUUCACAGCUCCGUUCCCAGAGUGUAGAUGAGUGCCUGCAACAAAAUAGGUUCUUGAUAACUAUGCAUUGAAUAUAAAAUCUGAAUCAGAAAAUUUGGGAAGUAGGAGAAGUUGUAGAAGAGAAGGCUGAGUUGAGGUGGUACUGAAUUUAUGACAAGCAUUCAGCAUUUUCUGUGACAAAUAUCUGUUGGACAUCAAUUAUGUGCCAGACACUGUUCUAAGUUACAGCUCAGCUAAGACAGACACAAAGCCUUGAGCUGCAUCUGAGUGAGAGCCCGAGCACCUGCCAUAUGUUGAGUGCUUGCUAUCUGCCGGCACAGUGCAGAACACCUGUGAUGUUAAUCCUACAGAAAAUUGUAGAAGGCAGGUGCUAUCAUUAACUUUACUUCUUCCCAGGUGAGGAAACAAUUUCAGAGCAAGUUCACCUCACUGGUAAGCAGGAGAGCAAACUCCUCCUAAACAUGGGGUUCCGUUCCCCACCCUCUUAGCUGCUCCCCUAUGCAACUCUUGAAGAAAACACUAAUGCUGGCCAGAAGUCCAUGUAGUUGGCAAUCAGCUGCAUUUUCCUGAUGAGAAAAUGAAACGCAGGAAAGUUAAAUCACUUCCACACAUCACAAGCUAAGGGGUGGCAGGUAGGAUAGGAGGGAGACGGCCCUGGUUUGUUGUCAGAGCCCAUGUUCAUAAGCCCUACCUUUAUGUCCUCAAGUCUAUAGGUUUGUGGGCAGGUAUAGCAGGGGUAUCCUUUUUUUUGUUUGUUUGUUUGUUUUAACAGAGCUCAGAACCCAAGCUUCUCAAACUCUAAAGAGUGUAGGAUUCAUCAGGGGAUUCCAAACCUAGACUUUGAAUCAGCAGGCCAGCUGUUCCCAUUACCCUCGUGUGACCUUCUGGGGCUCCCUGAUUUCUCACUCAUAGCCAUACUCACCACAUGGCAGGCUUUGUGCUACAGAAGGGUCCCUGGGAGUCUGCAGGACACCAUGGCCCAAACCACUUCUUCUUGUUAUUCCCUGAAACAGACAUAUGUUUCUUUGCUUACCCCAAGUCCAGACCUUCUGAUAGUAACAUCUCGAAUUUCCUUUUGAGGAACCAUGCCUCCCUCAUCCCAGUCCAAAGAGUUUGAAUAGAUUUGACUCUUCCUCCUUGGUUCCAGAUGUGACAAUGUACUUCAAUGGACUUUAUGGGGAACAAGAAGACAUCUUCUCACUAGGGCUACAAAGUGCAUAGAAUGCAUGUUGGAUGCUCUGUUACUGUGAAGGGAGAGUCACCCAGAUAAUAAAGCCAGCAUUGAGGUAAGCAGAGAUGAAAAUUAGAGAAAGAAUUCUGAUGAAAUCUUGAAAUGGCUGGAUCUGGUCCUGGGAGGUAGGCUUAUUGCAAACAAUUCCAUGAUAAGUAAGACAAUAAAGUCCCUUUUUUUGCUAAAAUCAGAUUAAAUUAGAUGUUGACAUCUGCUGCCAAAAGAAUCCCAAAUAAAACAUUUCCUUUAGGAUAAAUUCCCCUGUACUCCAGAACAAUCUCCCUCAGAAACUGGAGUGGCUCAUGAUGGUAUUUCAAACUAAAGUGCCAAUGACUAGGAAUGCUUGCUGACUCAACCACUGGAAUGUUCUGGAGAUGAAAUUGAUAUUUGAAAGCAACUGGAGGGUGACUGACAGUUGGUAGGUACUUAAAAAAUAUCCUGAGUCUAUCUAAAUGGUGUAUUUUCUUUUUUUAUGUGCUAGAAUAUAUGUACUUGGCAAAUCUCAAAUAUGUUUGUAAUUUGGGGAAUAUAAUAGGAGAUAUUUUAUGUGAGAAAAGUUCUCAUCAUUGCUUUUUGCCUGUUUGGUUUAUUUUACAUGACUGUGAAAUGCAAAAUUCCAAGAUUUUGACUUUUUGAAUGAUUUUCCUCUCUCUCCCAUCUCCUUUUCUCCCACACUUACACCAUCCAUCCCCAGUGGUCAAAGGUACGAGGAUCCACCAUUUGGAACUUCAUCUUUUAAAGACCAGAAACUCCUCUUCAGGAGAAGGAAGGGUGUGAUUUAUUGUGGCUUUAUCUAAGAUAACACAGUGAAAGUUCAAGUUCUCUAGUUUCUUUAUUAAAAAAAAAUAUAUAUAAAUACCAGUGAUUUAUAGCAAGGGUAGCAAUUUAGUGCAUAAGAAAUUUUUUUUGCUCUAUUCCUCUCCAUCUUCACCUUUCUUAAAGUAACUAAUUUUAACAGCUUAGUGCAUAUCCUUCUAGUCAUUUUUCUAUGGUGUUAUAACCAGACACAAAUGCAUGCAUGUAUAUGCAUGUAUAUAUGUAUGCCUAUAUACAUAAACACACAUACACACAUCAUUUUUUUUUAACAUAUUCUUGUACACUAUUGCUUUUGUAUAUAUUUCCAAAGGUAGGAUUGCUGGGUCAAAGGGUAUGUAUACUUCUAUUUAAAUGAACACAGAUGAUUACUUUCCAGAAAGUUUACAGAACUUCAUAUUCUCACCAAUGUAUUUCUCCAAAUCACUGCUAUCCCAGAAUUUUUUUGCACUUGGUACUGUGGUAGUUUCAUGAUUUUUAUUCUUUUUUCUCUUUAUAAGAGUUAGCAUCUUCCCCAUUCGAGUCCUUAGGACCAUCACAUCUGUUCUAUGGCCCCAUUGUGCAUGCCUUUCCUGUCUUUCAUGUGUUCUUUCGGAGGUUGCCCCUCGUAAUAAUGAGGAUGAAGAUGCAGCUGAUGUUUAUUGAGUGUUGACUACCUGUGCUGAGUCUGCUACGCACUUACAGUGCUGAAUAGGUUUUUUUACUGAAAGUUUUUCCUUUGAUAUUCACGAUAACCCUACGAGCUAUCUAGUUUUAUAAGUCGGCUUUUACAGAUUAGGAAACUGAGGCUCAGAAAAAAGUUAGAGGAUAGGUGUGGUGGCUCACACCUCUAAUCCCAGCACUUUGGGGGGCUGAGGUGGGAAGAUCACUUAAGCCCAGGAAUUCGGGGCCACCCUGGGAAACCUAGUGAGACCCCUGUCUCUAAUAAUAAUAAUAAUAAUAAUAAUAAUAAUAAUAACAACAAUAAGAUAAAAUAAAUUAGCUGAGUGCAAUGGCGCACACCUGUAGUCUCAGCUACUUGUGAGGCUGAGGUGGGAGAAUCACUGGAGCUUGGGAAGUUGAGCCUGCAAUGAGCUGUGAUCACACCACUGUACUCCAUCUUGUCUCAAGAAAAAGGGUGGAGGGGAAGGUUAGAGUAAUUUGCCUAAAUGUGCAGAGGGAGUGAGAAGCAGAACAGGGAUGAAUCCGAGAGGUCUGUCAACUGCAGCAUAGACGGCACACAAGCACUGUGCACAUUGCCUGCUGGAUACCCAAGAUGGGAUUCAUUAAAGUGAGGCCAGGUCUCUAUGACAAAAGUCCAAGAACCUCCUGAAAUGUUGUGCAGGAUGCUGGGAGAGGUUUGAUUUAUUUUCUUCAUUUACUAAGCUAGCAAUUUAAUCUUACAUUUCAGUUUGAAAUAUUUUAAACAUGCGUUCCCAAUAUUUGUUUACUUAUUUAUAAAUUAUAUACUUGCACUGAAGUAUUGAUAUCUUAUGUCCACUAGAAAGCAUACAUAAGCAGUUAUAAUUUUAAAUGGUGACUCAGUUUGAGCCAUUGUAACAAAAAUACCAUAGACUGGAUGGUUUAAACGACAAACAUUUAUUUUUCAUGGUUCUGGAGGCUGGCAGUCGGAAAUCAGGGUGCCAGCAUUGUUAGGUUCUGAUGAGGGUCCUUUUCCAGGCUGCAGGUUACUGACUUUCUAUUGUAUCCUGACAUGACAAAAGGGGCCUUUAGUGGGUAAUUGGGUCAUGAGAGUGGAAUCCUCAUGAAUAGGAUCUGUCCAUCAAAGCAGUUACAAGCCUGCCUUGCCCUAAGGGCUGGGGAAUUAGACUAAACUUUUUUUUUUUUGAGACAGAAUUUUGCUCUUGUUGCCCAGGCUGGAGUGCAGUGGCAUGAUCUCGGCUCACUGCAACCUCCGCCUCCCAGGUUCAAGUGUUUCUCCUACCUCAGCCUCCCAAAUAGCUGGGAUUACAGAUGCCUGCCACUACGCCUGGCUACUUUUUGUAUUUUUAGUAGAGACAGAGUUUCAUCAUGUUGGUCAGGCUGGUCUUGAAUUCCUGACCUCAGGUGAUCUGCCCACCUCAGCCUCCCAAAGUGCUGGGAUUGCAGGCGUGAGCCACCAUGCCUGGCCAGACUACAAUUCUUGAUGAGGGAAUAGGAUUCAUGAGGAUUCCACUCUCAUGACCCAAUUACCCACUAAAGGCCCCACCUCCUAAUAUUAGUUUGGUGCAAAAGUAAUUGUGGUUUUGCCAUUAAAACGAAUUGGCUGUAGCUGAGGCUGCAGUCAUCUGAAGGAUGUCCUAGUUGUGCCAUUGGCAUUACCAUUAAAAGUAAUGGCAAAAGCCGCAAUUACUUUUGCACCAACCUAUUAUUACUUUGCAGAUUAGAAUUUCAAUAUGUGGAUUUUGGGUGGACACAAACAUUAGGUCUAUUACAAAUUGAUAAGAUAAAACUGAAAUUACUUGUAAUCUAAUUAUUCUAUUUGUGAAUAGUACCAAAAUAUCAUUGCUCUCACUAAAUAAAAUUACUAUUAGAAAUGAACCUCAUGCUUAUUAGUUUUACAUGUUUCAUGACUUGCAAUGGCUUCAUAGUAUUAUUAAAAAAUAUCUUAAGCCAUGGCUGGGCGCUGUGGCUCACACCUGUAAUCCCAGCACUUUGGGAGGCUGAGGCAGGCGGAUCACCUGAGGUCGGGAGUUUGAGAACAGCCUGGUCAACAUGGUGAAACCCUGUCUCUACUGAAAAUACAAAAAAUUAGCCAGGGUUGGUAGUGGCUGCCUGUAAUCCCAGCUGCUUGGAAGCUGAGGCAUGAGAAUUGCUUGAACCUGGGAGGAGGAGGUUGCAGUGAGCCAAGAUCGAGCCAUUGCACUCCAGCCUGGGAGACAGAGCAAAACUCCAUCUCAAAAAAAUAAAAAGUAGGCCAGGCGUGAUGGCUCACACCUGUAAUCCCAGCACUUUGGGAGGCUGAGGUGGGUGGAUCACGAGGUCAAGAGAUCAAGACCAUCCUAGCAACGUGGUGAAACCCCGUCUGUACUAAAAAUACAAAAAUUAUCUGGGCAUGGUGGCAUGCGCCUGUAAUCCCAGCUACUCGGAUGCUGAGGCAGGAGAAUCACUUGAACCUGGGAGGUGGAGGUUACAGUGACCUGAGAUCGCGCCACUGCACUCCAGCCUGACAACAGAGUGAGACUCUGUCUCAAAAUAAUAAUAAUAAUAAAAUAAAAUAAAUAAAAAAUAAAAAAUAUUGAGCCAUAACAUGUAUUUGGGAGGAGGUUUAUUGUUUAAUUAUCUAGUAACAUGUAACAAAUGAUCCCCAAAUUUAGUGAUUUAAACUCACAAGUUUGUUUUGCUCAUGAUUUCUGGGUCAGGAAUUAGGAAAGGGCUCAGCUGACUGGUUCUCACCUGGAGGUCCUCGUGUAGUACAGUCUGAUAUUGGGUGAAGCUGAGGCUGUAGUCAUUUGAAGGAUGUCCAAGUUGUGCCAUUGCCAUGGCUGGCAGCUUUGGGACCUUAACUGGGGCUGUUGGUCAGAGCAUUCAUGUGACCCUUUCACCACGAUGGUCUCAGUGUAGCUGGACUUCUUGAAUAGCAGCUCUUGCUCCCUCCAGAAUAAGCAUCUCAGGAGAAACCAGAGAGGGAAGCUGUAUGGCUUUUCCUGACAGCCUUGGAAGUCACGUAGCAUUCCCUCUGUCAUAAUGUAUCCAUCAAAGCUGUCAUAAGCCUGCCUUGGCUCAAGGGCUGGGAAUUAGACUAUACUUUUUUUUUUUUUUUUUUUUAAGACGGAGUCUCACUCUGUCGCCAGGCUGGAGUGCAGUGGUGCGAUCUCGGCUCACUGCAACCUCUGACUCCCAGGUUCAAGAAAUUCUCCUGCCUCAGCCUCUCAAGUACCUGGGACUACAGGCACCUGCCACCACGCCCAGCUAAUUUUUGUAUUUUUAAUACAGACGGAGUUUCACCAUGUUGGCCAGGAUGGUCUCGAUCUCCGGACCUCAUGAUCUGCCCACCUCAGCCUCCCAAAGUGCUGGGAUUACAGGCAUGAGCCACCGCACCAGGCCUAGACUAUACUUCUUGAUGAGGGAAUAGCAAGAUCACAUUGUAAGCCAGCCUAUGGAAUGGGAGAGAUGACUGAGGCUAUCUCUGAAAAAUGUAAACCUCAUCAUUACCGAUUAAGUUAUUUAUUAAUAGAUAUUUAUGGAAUGCCUGCUAUGUGCCAAGCUAAGAAUAUGAGUAAAAAGCAUGAAAAAACACAAGAUCCCUGCUGUUCUGGAGCCUAUAUUCUAGUACAGAAAAUAUCAGAUCAUGGUUUUAAAUGUAAAUCUAUAUGUUACAUAAUCUGCUGGAUAACUUCCUUUUUUGUUUGUUUGUUUUGACAACUCCGAGUUGCUCAUCAUCAUUUUUUUUUUACAUCACAAUAUAACUGAUAAAAAGCUCCUGUUAAUGGUGGAAGAAGUUAGAGCCAUUUUCUCCUUGCAUGCAGAUGCUUGCAUUGUUAAAAUUUCCUUCAAUUCACAUUACUUUGUAGGAAUCUUUAAGCCACUAGUCCUUUUUGUGAGGGCUGCUAUAGUUAAGAGGUGAUAAUGCUGUCUAUGAAUCCACAUUACUAGGCAUGUGUAAAUUGCAAGAAACCUCAAUAGGCUGUAGGCUAGAGGCAGUAAGAACACCAUUGUCAUCUGCAGAGACAAUUUGACUUCCUCUCUUCGUAUUUGAAUACCCUUUAUUUCUUUCUCUUGCCUGAUUGCUCUGGCCAGAACUUCCAAUACUAUGUUGAAUUGGAGUGGUGAGAGAGGGCAUCCUUGUCUUGUACUGGUUUUCACAGGGAAUGCUUCCAGCUUUUGCCCAUUCAGUAUGAUAUUGGCUAUGGGUUUGUCAUAAAUAACUCUCAUUAUUUUGAGAUAUGUUCUAUCAAUACCUAGUUUAUUGAGCAUUUUUAGCAUGAAGGGGUGUUGAAUUUUAUUGAAGGCCUUUUCUGCAUCUAUUGAGAUGAUCAUGUGGUUUCUGUCAUUGGUUCUGUUUGGAUUACAUUUAUUGAUUUGCAUUCUACUAUAAAGACACAUGCAUAUAUAUGUUUAUUGCAGCACUAUUCACAACAGCAAAGACUUGGAACCAAACCAAAUGUCCAUCAAUGAUAGACUGGAUAAAGAAAAUGUGGCACAUAUACACCAUGGAAUACUAUGCAGCCAUAAAAAAGGAUGAGUUCAUGUCCUUUGCAAGGACAUGGAUGAAGCCAGAAACCAUCAUUCUCAGCAAACUAACACAUGAACAGAAAACCAAACACUGCACAUUCUCACUCAUAAGUGGGAGCUGAACAAUGAGAACACAUGGACACAGGAGGGGAACAUCACACACCAGGGCCUGUUGCGGGGGCGGUGGGGGGCUUGGGGAGUAUAGCAUUAGGAGAAAUACGUAAUGUAGAUGAUGAGUUGAUGGGUGCAGCAAACCACCAUGGCACAUGUAUACCUAUGUAACAACCUGCGUGUUCUGCACAUGUAUCCCAGAACUUAAAGUAUAAUUUAAAAAAAAAAGAAUGCCAUUGCCUCCCCCAUCCCCAAUUCCUCUGAGUUGUAGAAUUCCCACCUUCUCUCAGAAUUUCUGCAAUACCAUAUGUAACCGACGCAGAGGGAGUGAGGCAAGUGUCAAGCUGCUUAUUAAAAUAUAACACAGUUUAAUUUCUUUCUUAUUUUUAGUUUGAAGUAAGUAUAAAUAGAAGGUCUAAUAUCUUUUUUAGCUUAUUUUCCACUUUGGAGGACACUGCUCUAGAAAAAAAUCAGAAAACACUCCUCACCAGUUAAAGAGGAUGAUGCUUCUGGAAAGGACACAGUCCCCAAUAAUGAAACAACCCCCACAAGUUGUCUCCGUGAGUGCCUUCUCUUGAGUGAUGAUGCAAAAGGAGCUGAAAUGAGUUGCAACUUGCAGGAAGUAGCCUGACAUACAACAUUGUUUAAAUUAAAGUGAAUGCAAAAGAGAAGCUUGUUACAGCUUAAAUAGAUAGAGAAGGAGAACUUUUUCUGUUUCCAGUUGCUUGUCUGCUUUGGUUGGAGACCAUAUGCUUUGAAGAAUCUUACAAAUAUUCCUGUCCAUAUACGUAUUAGAGUAUCUCAGGCUUUUCUCUCUGGAAGCCUUUGUGCCAUUGUCUGAAGGAUCUAUAAAAGCAAUAAGCCAUCUUGUAAAUGGAGCUGGAAUAUGGGAUGCUCUUGUUCCUUUCUUGCCAGCGGCCACUGGCAUUUAUUCCGGAGUUGAUGCAUCAGUGACCAGGGUUAUUGCUCCCAGAAUCCAUGUUAAACCACACAAGCAAUGGAAAUUUUCUCAGCUGUGCUGUGAACUCAGUCUAGGCUUAUUUCACUCAAGUAUGAAUAGCAAUAAAGAUAUUAACAGCAAUGCUAAUAUUAAUUCUAAUAGCUAAGAGUACCCAGCGCCUACUUGCCAGGUGCUGUGCUAGGAAGCCACGUGGAUUUAAUUGUUACUCCUCACAGCAACCUUAUGAGAAAUAUACUGUCACUUAUUGGACAUCAGAGCAGGAAGCUUCUCCAAGGUUUGGAGGAAUUAAACAAUUUGAACAAUAGAGUCUGAGCCCAAGGAGGAUUCCCAUAGUCUGACUCCAGGUUUGCAAGGUUAAUUAAUGACUUUCUGUCUCUCUAAUAUAUAUCUCUAUAUGUUAUAUAGAUAUAUAUAAUAGAUAUUUACAUUAUAUAUAAUAUAUAUAAAACUUAUAUAUAAGUUAUGACAAAUAAAUUUUAACCACUAUGGAAAACUUGCAACUCAAGUUUCUAUACAUAUGAUAUGGUUUGGCUGUGUCCCCACCCAAAUCUCAUCUUGAAUUGUAGCUCCCAUAAUCCCCGUGUGUAGUGGGAGGGACCCAGUGGGGAGUAAUUGAAUCAUGGGGGUGGGUUUUUCCCAUGCUGUUCUAGUGAUAUUGAAUAAGCCUCAUGAGAUCUCAUGGUUUUAUAAAGGGCAGUUCCUCUGCACAGGCUGUCUUGCCUGCCACCAUGUAAGAUGUGACUUUGUGCCUCCUUCGCCUUUUGCCAUGAUUGCGAGGCCUCCCCAACCACGUGAGACGGAGUCCAUUAAACCUCUUUUUCUUUAUAAAUUACCCAGUCUUGGGUAUGUCCUUAUAGCAGCAUGGGAAUGGACUAAUACAAUAUAUAAGUAUAU